GGUGCUUAGGGUUUUAAAGUGGGCUUGAUUGUAAUUACAUUAAUAUUUCAUAUAUCUGGAGUUUUUAAUCUAUUGCCUCUAAUCUUUUUACUUUAAAGGUUGAGAUAACAGAGAUUUUGUUCAUCUCGAACUUAUUUUAAGAUUUGAGAUUUUUCUCCUCUAAUCCUUUAUUGUUGGUGCAAUAUUUGAAUUUGGUUUCUUUGUGAAGCUAAUGUUGAGUGGUGCUAAGGGGGAUUCAUCACAGAGAAAACCAGUUUUGUUUUCCUAUUUUAAAUAUGGUGACAAACAUGGAUAACAAAAGAGAUGCUUUAUGGUUGAAUUUGCCAGCGGUGUGAAAGGAAUAGGCUUUGAAUCUUGAGAAUGAGAAUGUAGGUAUUGUUGUCUUUGGUAGUGGUAUCGUAAUAUGAGGUUUGAUUGACUUGAUCAUACUAUUAUAAAAAUGUGACCGGAUAUCUGUAAGAACUCAUAAAAGCUAAGUUAGGUAAAUAAUUUGAAAGUAAUUUUGAAUUUUGGAAUAUGCCAUCAAGAUUCCAUUCCAUUUUUCUGCAUUACAUAUCCUUGACCAAAAAGGGAAGUCUCUUGAGCAAUUUCCUUAUGCACUCUCUCACUCCCCUACUCCACCCUCAUAUCACGAACAUUAAUAUUACAAUAAAAAAGAUAUGCUGCGUAAUUGUAGGUGUCUAAUCAAGGUUCCAUACACUAUUUUAUCGUUAAUAUAGAUAAUUUUUAUUUUGGCAUGGGGCGGCUCGAGAAUGAGCAGCAUGGCAUGUGCCGUGCAGGCUAUUGGCUGUUGUGCCAUUGACACUUCUUAUCGUAAACAUAAAGGCCUUCCUCUAUUGUUAUCAACUUGUCUUCGUAAAUUUAUAAACAUAGAUUACUCUCUUCUAUUCCUUCCAAGUGUUGUACCCAUCUAUUAAGGUCACAUAAUAUACAGCCCUUUUCUCUAUACAUCUUCUGUGUCUUGAUUUUCUUUCAUAGGUAAAGAGAAACAAAAGAGUUAAAUCAUAAAAAAAACAUAAUGUAGUUAAUAGUUCACUUUGACAAAUAGGUAAAUGAAUUAUACCAAGUACAUACUGCUUUUUUGAUCACUUCCAUCCAUCAAACAUUUUCUCAUUUUUAUUUUAUUUUAUUUGUACUUUAUUUAUUUAUGUGUUUGAUGUACUCUCUGUUAUAUUAUCAGUUAAUUCAAUAUUUUUUUACACUAAGUUUUUAAUUCUUAUGUUUAUUUUUUUUUCAAUCAUUUCCUCUGUUGUGCCUUGCACAUGUCGGUUUGCUAGUAAACAGAAAAGGUAGUUUUGAAUAACCCAUCUAAUGUUGUCAAAGAUAAAAUUGGAAAUUUUUAUUACUUACAAGACAUUCACCCAAGAGGUGAAUUAUUUACACUAAACAACAGUUCUGAAUAUCAAGAUAGUAGUAUGCUGGUUUGCAAUGUGUGUACAAUUGUGUACUAAGUUCUGUAGUUGUGGAAGGCAAAAGUGAGUUUUACAGUUGUUUGCUAGUUGACUAGUAGUUUUUGGCAACAGCAAAACCUCUAGUGAUUUGAGUAAAGGGAAGAUUUCACCAAAGGAAUUGCUGUUGCUGAAAACUUGUGCAGCAGUCAGGUAUAGGACAGGAUUUAUGGUUAAAAACUCAUGCAACAAUCAAGUUCGCUAGAAAGUCCUCACGUCAUGGGUCAUCAACAGAUUAUAAGUUUUAUGAUGAAGGAACCCUAAGUUUAAAAAUUGUUUAAACUAAGUAUUUGAAAAGUCAUUAUUUCAAGAAGAACUAUGAACCUAAUCUCUGAUAGUUUGGUCUGGUAUCGAAAUAUGUUAUUUUCUUUGUCAUGAUUUUUCAGAGAGUUUCCCCAUAAAAAUAAUUAGUCUCAGACUUGUAAGAUGAUACAUUGUAGAGGCAUAUAUUUUUCUGCUUGCUGAAGUUGUUGUUUGUUCUUGCUUGUGUUCAAAUCCUGAUCUGGUUGAGCUUGUUUUGGAUUGAAAAACUCUGAUUCCAUGCCCAGUCUAUUUAUAAUCAUGUAGAAACAAUGUAAACUCAUACUGAACCCAUUUUAUUUUACAUGAACCUGUACCCACCCAUCAACCCAUUUAAGGUUUCACUCAUCAAUCAUACAUAUAACUAAAAAGUAAAGCAAAACAUGAUAUGCGAAGAUCACAAAUAACAAAGUCAAAUUUACUUUAAAGAUAUCAUUAUAAUCCCGUUAAAUUUAGGAACUUAGGAUAUAUGGCAGUUACAAAUGUAUUAAGGAUGAAAUUAGCUAAAAUGCAAUCCCACAUCCCAGUACCCAUGGCCUGCCCUAUCCAUCACUCUUUUCUUCAAGGGAACUGAACUACGUAGAACAAUUAGAGAUAUAACUAUGUCUGGUUUGAGAGAUGGUAGCUUUGGCAAAGCCAGGUUUUUUGAUCAAGGGGGGCAAUAAUAAUAACUUAUAAUCAUUUAUAUGUUAAAGUUAAAAAAAUCUAAAUAGUUAUUUGAAGUAGCCAAAAAAUGAAAUUUUACUAAAUAUUUACUCAUUGCAAGGAUGGUCCAGGGUGGUUAGAGUCCAGAAACAUAUUAAGAUCAGAUGAGGUAUUAGAACAAUGGCAAGUUGCAUGCUUGACGUCAAAAGAGGAGGAAGAAAAUUUACCUUUCUAUAGUUUCUGCUUCUGCUGCUUGAGAAAUCUCAUAUGCCUAUUCAAAUGCAGAUCUCUAUAUGGUUUUUUAAUGUAAGAAACAAGCCCCAUAUUCUCUUUUACUUCUGAAUUUGGAGGAGAAUCUCCCAUCAGGACAUGGAGUAAUGAGGAACAUGGACUAGUAGGGCCAUGAAAAAUGGAGAUUCAAGCUGUGAGCAGCAGACUUGGAUUUCCCACUUAAUCAUUCUUAAUAUAGAAACUUCAAUACACAGGUAGUUUCAAAAAAAAUACUUCUCUUUGGUAACUCACCACAAGAUUUUACAAAGGUCAAUCUUAUCUAGAUUCACUGUGCAAUAGGCCAUAUAUAAGCAAAUCCCAAAGUUUUGAGUUUGGGGUAGGACUAGAAAUGGGCUCGGGUCAACUCAAGGGCCAUUAGACUGAGCCUAAUUCGGGUCGGCCCAAGGGCUAGGCCAGAAAAAGUUCAGUCUGGGUUUGGACUUAAAUGUAGAGCUCAUUUAUUUUUUCAGGCCGGGCUCUGGCAUGUCAUUGGCCCGACUUGGGCUCGGCCUGGGCCCGAACAAGGCCCGAAACAGAGCCCGAAUUCAAGCCAUGACAUGCCUGAGGCCGAGCCCGAUCAAGGCCCGAAAUGGAGCCCGAAUUUAGGCUCGGAUCCAUUCAUUUUUGUAUGCUGUUAUUUGGAGAGAACGAUGAGGAAGUAAAGAACAAAUUAUAAUGAGUUUACUUGAGAAGAAUGUAUCAUGUAUCAUUUACUUGUAUUAUAGGAGAGAGAUCAGUUUUUGGCUAGCCCAUUUACUUGUGAAGCAAUAGUAUGAAAUAUUAAAACUUCAAUCAAGUUCGGGUGAGCUCUAUUUUUUGCCCAAAUGGAUAAUUCGGGCCGGUCUAAUCGGGUUCCAGUCGGGCUUGGGCUUGGAUUAUCCACAAAUUUUGGGUCUAAGCCUAGCCUAAAGCCUAAAAAAAUUUCGGUUUUAGUUCAAGUAGGGGCAUGGCCUAGCCUAGCCCGACCAACUUCCAGCCCUAGUUAUUUAUUUAUUUAUUUAUUUUUAUUUUUUUUGGGGGUGGGACCACCCCUACUUAUCUCCCCUGGCUCUACUCGUGGAUAUUAGGUCCCCAACCAGUUCACUCCUCAAGACCCAUCAGGUUGAGGGGGCUCAACUCGAACAUACCCUUUAUGAUCAGGUUGGACCUAGAACCUACCUGGCUUUAGAAAACCCCACCCAAACUCAUUUACUUUAGGUGGGUUGUUGGCACAGGUUAGAUUUUGCCACCCCUAACUCUAAUGGAGCAUGGACAUUUAAAUUUUUGACUUACAGGUUGGAUGGUAAUAUUCCUACCAUGGUUUAUGUGUACUUUUGACAGCUUAUUGAUAGAAAUCCCCCGUCCCCCUUCCAAAAAAGUGCUUUAACUAGGAUAACAUCCAGCUUAUGUUGCAAGCUAUGGUGCCCAGUCUUGGCAACUUGGUCUGAUGUAUUUGUGUUGACAAGAUACAUCAUGAAUACUGAUGUAGGAUCCAUGUUUGACAUGCCAAUAUAACCCUCAAAUGCAUUUGGAAUUUUUUUAAAAGGAGAUGUAAAAAAGGAGUUUAUCACCAAACAUAAGAAAAUAAUAAAAAAAUCAGAUGAUUCACCUCAGAGAGAGAGAGAGAGAGAGAGAGAGAGAGAGAGAGAGAGAGAUAAUANNNNNNNNNNNNNNNNNNNNGAGAGAGAGAGAGAGAAGCAGAUAAUUCAAACAACUGGAUUAAGAAUUUACCUUUGUUUUAUCCUUUGUUUUUAUCCUAACUAAUUUCUUCGUGAAUCAUGUACUUGUCAUUCUAGAUGAUUUCUUCUUUCUGGAUUGCCACCAGAUUUUUCUUGUUCUUGGCUUGUCAUAACAAUUAGAAGAGAAGUAGCAUGGACAAAAUUUCACCUAAACAAGUAAGAUCAUUGUUUUGUAACUUUUAUUGGUGCUUCCACAGGUGCAGCAGUAUAGUUGCGAAUGGUUUACAUAUCAGCUGUCAGACUUUUUUUGGGAAUUCUUUUGUUAGCUAAGUAUUCCCCUAACCGGGAAUAUCCUUAGUUAGAAAGAGAAAAGAGUUCCUAUCAACCCUAUAUUAGCCAUACGUCAUAACCUGUCUACCGUCACUGCGAUGUUGAAAAGGAAGCUGCUCCUUUAUACAAAAGAAUUGGGUUCCCAUACAAAAGCAACUGAUUACUUUUAUUUUCAUCUUGUUUUCUAUAAUUUAUAAUAAACACUGGAACGAAAUAUCUUUUCAGAUACUGUAUUUUUCUUGAUACAUUAUUUCCUUCAUCUGUCUAAAUUUUUCUCCCUCAUCAGCUUGCCCUAGUAAUUUGUAUAUGCCAUAUAUGUCCUGACUUUUUAAUCUCUUCAUCAGCCAUGCCCUCCAAACUUUAUAAAAUGCUGCAGAUGUCCUAAGUGAAGGCUUUAAAAGAUAUGACUCCCAUUUAGAUAAAGACAUUUAUGAUAAUUGUUCUAUAAAGGAAUUGUGAGUGACCUUUUCAACUGAUUGUUCAAUUAUGCUAUGUAUGUGCACAUGCACAUAAUGACUUCUUGGAUGUUCACCUUUGGUUAUUGUUUCUGACUUUCCGUAGUAUGUGUUUCACGCAUACUAUUUCUUGUACAGCAUGUCUGCAUGCCCACACUCGAUUUUUUGGGUCCAUUGGGGCCAAGUCCUUGGAUCAUAAAUGUGAGGAUUGAUGGAUCUCACUCCUAGGGUGAUGUCCUCACCUGACACCAAUACCUGAAUCCAUGUAGCAUAAGUUGCCAGUAUGAAAUAAUGGGAGGUAGUUGCUAGUGCAACAAAAGUUAUGCAGUAUGCUUGUGUUACAAAAUCAUGAAAAGCAAAGAGAGAGAGAGGCAUACAAACUUGAGGUUCAUAUAAUUGGGAAUCUGUUAUUGAAGAUACAUGUUUCCUAAAGGUGUUAGCUUUGAAUCAGAGGAUUGUGAUCUGGUUGGCAAUUACAGCAAAGACGGAGCGGACCAAGAACCAAAUGAUAGCAUAUCUAGUGGAAGCUGGUCUAUUUUUUUUUCACUUGAGAAACAUCACCUAAAAAGAAUUGUAUUGUUCGUAUGUUCAAAUCAUAUUCCCUUUAGGUACUUAUUGGCAUAAUAUAUAUUCUUUUGUAAUUUACUAAUUGUUAAUGUACCUUUUAAUUUACUGCAUUCCCUGCCCUAACACACACACAAAAAAAAAAAAAAAACAAAGGUGUCCAACUUUGCUCUUGGCUAAUUGAGACCUGUACAAAUGACUAUAUCGGGGAUAUUGGAUCAGGCAGUUGAAUGGACUGAUUCAUCAUGUUACUGGAGUUAGCCAGGUAUGCAUUACACAGGUUUAUUAUUCUGAAAUUACAAAAUGCUUUUUGUGUAGAUGAAUUUGAGGUUGCAGGGAUUAAGAAGAUUAUAUAUGGAAAAGAAUCUUCAGUAAACGUUGUUUAGGAUGCUAAUCUUGUCGAUUGAGGUAUGUAUACAAGAUAAAAGAUUUUGAGAAGUUGGAUGAACCCGUUAUCAUGUGCAUAAGUAUGCGAUAAAUGUUUCAUUUGGCGGCAUACUUUUCCCUGAAGAUUUUCCCUAUAUUAUUUACUUUACCUAAUAUUGCUGGUCUAUGUUGCUGAUUUUGCAGCAGAAAUGAAUAGCAUUGCAAUGCCAAGUUGCCAUUGCUAAUGUUGUGUUUAGAAGCAAAGGAAGGUAUAAGCAAAGAGUUUACUGUUUAAAUAUUUUUCCUAUCAAUAUUUGAUACAACUGAACUCAACUCAGCUAAGCCUUAGUCUCAAAGUAGUUGGGUCGGCUGCAUGGAUCGUUUUCCUCGAUUCCACUUAGUUUAGGGCCAUAUUUUCUAUUAAAUGUUUAGAUAUCAAGUGCUUCCUUACUAGCUCAUCCCAUCUGAUUUUUCCAUCAAUAUUUGAUGCUGGAAUUUAUUAUGAUGUUCACAAGAGGAUUGAAAAUCAAAAAAAUUUCAUUGUGGUGCUUCGAAAGGCUUAAAGUAAGGUUUGAAGCUCUGCCUUAGAGGUAAGACAUAAUAAGCUUUCAAAAAUUACAGAUGAUGUCUGGUUCUUGGUGUUAUUCUUAUAGGUUUCUCCCCACCAUCAUGCACUUUUCCAAGUGUUAGUGAUAUGGAGCCUAAGCUUAGGGUUUGGUUUGUUAAAUCUUCAGACUUAAGGGUUUUGUUAAAUCUUCAGACUUAAGAAAAAGAAAAAUGAGGAAAGGAGUUGAGCUAGACAAUUUAUUUAGUUUUUCUACAGUUAUUUUUUUCUUUAGUUUUAUAGUACAAAACAGAUCACUUCUUUGCUUUGUUUGAGGUGUACGCUUAUAAGAAGCAUAAGCCAUGAACAGGGGCUCUGAUAUGGAUGCCUCUGGACCUUCUUUCCUUGCCUCGUUGUAAGUUUUAUCAAGUUUCGGACAUGUUUCUAUAACAUGGUUUGAUUAAAAGAUAUGCUUUUUUCGUAUGAUUAACUUUUUGAAAGAACUUGUAAUAUAAUGAUCUUUAACAAAACGAUGGAUGCUACCAUCUAAGGUGACAGUGACAAAUUAAAUUGUAAAUAAGACCUACUAUAACAAUUCAGUAAAAUGGGGAAUUUUACUGGGUUGAGUUAAAAGGAUCUUGUUCCUUUGUUUAGAAUUAUCUUCUUGUAUUGAAGGCCAAGGGCCUAACCAGAAGGUGGAAGCACAUUUUUCAUAUUACCUGGUGGACGUUAUGGUUUGAAGGCAAUAGGAUAAUUGGGGUCAGCUGGGGUGAGUGCUCGUCACUACCUAGCUGCAAAAUACCUUUCUAGUUAUGGAAGGUCCUCAAGAGGAAUAUCAUAUAUUCGUAAUUAUAUUUAAGUGAUGUUACUAUCGCUAUUAUUUUAGUAAGUUUCACUUAUCAUGGGGUACAGAAAUCAUAUACUUUAGUAGAUAGAAAGUAGUCACACAUCCUGACUGGAUGAGAUCAUCAUUCAGCUUCUUUGAUGUGAUCAUCAAACUAGUGAUUGGAUGCAGUAUUUUGAUUUCUUUCCUUUUCUGGCUUUAUUAUUGAUGCUCGUAAGAUGUUUCCUUUAAGUUUGGCUGGUGGACUAGUUUGCAUUGCAUGUAAUAUACGUCUACAUGAUAGGUGAUUCUCAACCAAGUUGAUGAUAUUGAAAAUAAAUUCGUAUUGCACAAUCUAUUUUAGUGAUUUUCAUAAAAAAGUUGUAAGCGCUGCAUCUUUGCCUGUUAUGCAUAACAAAAUUCCAUACUUCUAUGCUAAUAACUUUUUCCUCCCCAAAAACAAGAUCGUCUCAUAUCUUAUGUUAUUCAGAUUGAGGGACCCAUGUCUUCUGAAGAAAUGCUUGCAAUCCUUCAGCGAGUCGUAGAAGAGUGUACACAAUCUCUGGUUGCAGCAAGGCUUGAGGCAGAAGAAAGGAGAAACAACCAGCGUCUGAGAGAGGAGCAAGAUGCUGCAUAUAGAGCAGCACUUGAAGCUGAUCAAGUAUUUUGUUUUUCCAGAUUUAACCUUUUAAAUUUUGUUUAUUGUGUUUGUUUGUCCAGAUCGCUAACAUCCUAAAUUGGAUGAACCUGUCUGGUAAAUUAGGCUAGAGAGCGUCAGAGAAAAGAAGAACAAGAGAGGUUGGAAAGAGAAGCUGCAGAAGCUGAGAGGAAGCGUAAGGAGGAAGAAGAGACUCGGGAAAGAGCAGCUUGUGAAGCUGCUGAAAAAGAAGCUGCUUUAGCUAGAAGGCGGCAAGAGAAAGCAAUGUCACUGGGUGUUGAGCCUGAAAAAGGGCUGGAUGUUACGCAAGUAAGCCUUUUUAUAUAUUUUUUGUUCAUUCUUAUGCUUUCAUUGACUAAUUGAAAUCUUGAUCUUCCUCAAAUUUGGGUAAGUUUAGCAAUGAUAACUUAUUAAAUUCCUAUCUACCUGAAAAGAAAAAAAACCAAGGACGUCUCUUAUCUUCUGUAAUGGAUUUAUCUCAAGCUGAUAUGUUCUUUAAGUAUCUGCCAAUAUAACUAUUAGUCCAUGCUUGUUUUAUUUUGUACAUAUACAUACAGACACACACAUACAGACACACUACAUACAGACAUACAGACACACACAUACACACACACAUACAUACAUAUGUGUGUGUGUGUGUGUAUGUAUGUGUGUGUGUGUGUAUGUGUGUAUGUAUGUGUGUGUAUGUGUGUAUGUAUGUAUGUAUGUAUAUGUACAAAAUAAAACAAGCAUAUAUAUAUAUAUUAUGUGUGUGUGUAUAAGUGCUUGCAAAUUCUUUGUAAUUUUGCUCUAUGCUCUUACAGAUUUCAUUCUUUAUAAAUUAAAUUAUAGGUGUUAUGCUCAUGCGACUGUUACCUUUUUUUUAUUGAUCAAUCCAUGAUAAUCAAAGUAAAAAAAAGUAGUUUACGGUGAAAAAGUGAAAAUGUAAAGAUAAACCCUGAUGCUUAGGGCUUAUCAAAGUGCUACAGAACAUCAUAUUUGGGUAGUUUAGUUGACUUGAUUUCACCUCUAAUAAAGUAAAUGCUAAUUUUCUUCUGCACAUAAUUACAUUAAAAUAAAAGUAUUAUAUUAUUUCUGGUGGCUGAGUUGUAAAAGAGAGAAAUCUGAUAUCAUUGUUAAUAUCCAUAAUUAUGCUUGCUUCAUGCAGGCCUCAAAUGAGAUUUUGUUGCUCGUAAGUAGCCAAUGGUCAUGUAUGUUGGCGAAAUAUAUUGCUAGCUAAAUAGCAAUGCUUGUUGUUUUGGUGCUGAUUAUCACCUCUCCUUUUUUCCCCUCCUUUUUUGACAGAAAUGGGAGAACCUGCCAGUGGAAUUGCCCAGGAAUCAGUGCCUAGGGCAGACUCUCACAAGGUUCAAACUCAGAACCUCUGCCACUUGGAGGGCUAUUAGGCUAUUACCCAGUUAGCUAGUUGUCAAUUAAAAGGCAAAGCAUAAAGAAAUUUAAUUAUGUUUUCAUGCCAUUGGUGGUAAUAACCUGGAAAAUGGUAUUUGUUAUAAAAGUUGUCAUCGGAUACUAAAUUAGGUAAAUGUACUAGUAUACCCAAUGAUUUUAACGAGACCGUUGAUCAGCCCAAAAAUAUGACUGAGUUGUGGGUCACCGGUUCUACUGUUAGGUUAACUAGGAACAAACUGUGACAUCAUAAUGACGUUAUAAAUUAUAAAAUGAUUAGUUAUAAGAAUAAAUAUAUAUAUAUAUAAAGUACCUAAAUUAUUUUGAUUUUUUUCAAAAAAAGCAUUUCCUACUAAAAAAAUUCAGCACUGUAUUUCGAAAGAUUGCAGAGCAAUGAUGUACAUGUUCAUAAUAAUUUCACAUUAUUCAAGUUUCCAUCAAAUAACAACUAACAAACUAAGUUAAAAAUAUAUAAUAACAAUUCAACUAAGUAAAAACAUGGCCUGAUAAUAUCAUGAAUUCAGAUAUACGCUUUAUGGACCAAUCAUACUCUUUAAAGGUAAAGUAACGAAAUUAUGCAAUUAUUUUUCAUAUUUACAUCCCUAGUUAAGUAAUGAAGGUUUUCUCUAAACAGGUUUGACAGCAUUUUCUCAAAAAAGAACAUAAAUAUAGAAAUUCAGGAAGAAAUAUACCAAUUUGGACUGAUUAAAAUACUAAUAAAUUUAUUAUAAAAAUCUAAUGAAUUUGUUCCUUGAGCUAGUCCUUUCCACAUAACAACAUGGGGAAAUUGAACCCCUUGCAUUCCCGUAUAUUCCACUCUUGCUCGUUCUUCCCUCCUUAUCUAAAGUUCUGAAAGAAAGGUAACCUAAUCAAAUCUUUUUACACAAACAUCUAAAAAUCCUCUUAAGAAAAAUCUCAAGUUGUAAUGUUAUCUGCCCUCUUGGAUGCCCAAGAUCCAUCUUUGUUGUCUUGCUGCCCGGACUAGGUUUACUUAAGAAGUCAAGUGGUUGGGGGUGGGAGCACAUCAGGUCUUGGAGGUUGUCGAAUGGUGCUUAAGACCGUGGAUGGAGGCCUGGAGCUGUUGGAGGCUGGAGGGAGAAGGUGGGGCUGGAGAGAGAGGGGGGGUGGAGAGAAGGGGGGGUGGAGAGAGAGAAAGGAUGGUACCUGAAGGCUGCUGUUGUGGAACCAUGUCAGCCAUGUGUGGAGAGUCAAGGGAGAGAAGGGAUUCUGAUUCACUUCAGAAAAAUACUAAUCUUCUGAACCAAUGGUUCAGUCUGAAAAGAUUCUAAAACCAGCCAGCUUCAUAAACCCAGGAUGGUUCAAAUGGUUCACCUGUUUAGCCAUCGGUUUGAGCAGUUUUUGAUUAAAAGGGCAGUUUUUCCUUAAAACAGUUUCAGUGCUUGAUCCAGAAUGUAGACCUGACUAGCUGACAGUUUAACCGGCUCAACUGGCUGGUCUAGUCUGGUUUUAAAACAUGAGAUAUACCAGCAAAUGAACGGAAUAUAACUUUAACCUCCAGAGGGAGCUUGUGCCGUAUUUGAAUUGCUGAUACAUUCUGUGCCUACUGGAUCGGCAUGGUAUAGUGGUGCCAACCACUCUAUUUGGUUUACCGGUCUUUUCUGGUUCUUUGUUCUUUGUUUGGCCUACUAGUUGAAAUGUAUGGAUAACGGAUAAGGGAUAAGUAAUGCUCAUAAUAGCCACACAGGCAUGUUUUCCUUCUUUUUCCUUUCUUGAUGAAAGGUGGGUGGGGUGGGAGGGAGGCUAUAUGAGCUUGUUUUGGCCGAUAUUUGAAUGUUGAUCUCUAGAUCGGAUAAAUUAGUGAUACAAAGUGGCUAUUCUACUAUGAUCAAAGGUAUUUAAAUUAUCAUUCUAUCUUUUGAAGACAAUUAGGAAUCUUUGGUUGAAGAGGACAUAGCUAUUUCCAAAUGAACACUACCAUUUAUUGUGAUUGUUGUUUGUGUGCAUGCGUGUGUAUAUAUGUAUAUGUAUCUAACAUAUAUAUAUAUAUAUAUAUGUGUGUGUGUGUGUGUGUGUGUGUGUGUGUGUNNNNNNNNNNNNNNNGUGUGUGUGUGUGUGUGUGUGUGUGUGUGUGUGUGUAUGUAUCUAAUAUAUAUAUAUAUAUAUAUGUGUGUGUGUGUGUGUGUGUGUGUGUAUCUAAUAUAUAUAUAUAUAUGUGUGCAUGCAUGUGUAUAUAUGUAUAUGUAUCUAAUAUAUAUAUAUAUAUAUAUAUAUGUGCAUGCAUGUGUAUAUAUGUAUAUGUAUCUAAUAUAUGUAUGUAUGUAUGUACCUAAGCAGGUCAGUUUUCUAAACAGACGCAUAUCCCUCCCGCCCCCCUAAUGUGUAAAAAUAGUUCUACAGAAUUUGUUUAUUUGAUUAAUUACUUGAUAUGCAUUGCUUAAGUUGAAUAUCAAUCAAUUGUGUGUAUGGGGAUAAUUUAUGAUUUUGAAUAGGAGGUUACUUUAAGUUAUGCUACUUGUUUAAAUUUUAUGCAUAUACGCUAGUGAAUAAUUUAAAACUAAUCUAAGUUGUAGAACAAGGUUUAAAGCAGUCUCUCGAUUAUCAAAGCAUACUAGAUGCAUGUCUGUUAGUGUGACUCUGCAUAUCUUCUUGUACUAAUGGAUGGCAAGUAUCAUUCGUACAUAUCCUUAUCGUUUAUAGUUCUAUCAUUUGUCAAAUCAUUAAUUAUUUUUCUUGUGAAUGCAAUAGCAAAGUUGUUUCUGCAUAACAAAGUUGUUACCACUAACCUGUAUGGCUAAGAACUUGAAACCAUGCAAUAUACCUGGCAAAUAACAACUAAUACAGUCCGCUUUAUGAUGCUAGGUUAACAUAGUUCAAAGCUAUGCUGUUUUUUUGGAAAAAAUAGAGCUCAGAUGCAAGUAUAAAUUAAGUUUAAGUUGGUCUAAGUUUACUGUAUUUAAGUCUGCCAAACCGUGUAUUUUUACUUGAACUGAUGGGCUGGUUGUAGGUUACCUAUAUGUUAAAAUUGAUCCCAAUUAUGACUUCUUGGGAUAAUCACCUGCCGCCCUCCCCUCUCUCUCUCUCACUUGCUCACUCGUUGUUGUGUUUGUUCUUUAUCCUUGUGUUAUUUAUCUUAUAUAUAUUUGAGGGAACCUGUAUUUUUUAUUUUUUUUGUUUUUGGUGUAUCCUGAGGGAAGUUGUGUCAAGAGUUCUACCGUUAGGAUCUUGAGUCCUCAUCAUUAGGAUGUAAUCCAGGUUAUCGACAAGUAAUAUUUCACUUUUGUGCCUUUCAAUUGAAGUACUUCGCUUUUAUAUGUUAUGAUUUUAGUAACUAUUAUGUAGACUGUGGAAUUUACAUUCUUGAGAACUAUUGAGGACUGCCUUGUGUAAUCCUGAACUAUGAUUGGAAGAAGUGGAGUUACAAUAAGUAAAAUAUUUUUUUCCAAUUACCAGAAAAUCCAAAUCUACAUUCAGUACUUAUGCUCAAAAAAAAAAUGUCACUGUUGUCUGUGUUUAGGACAUUUCCUUUUUGGCGUUUCUUUUGUCUCAAAUUUCAACAUUGCUCUGGUAUCGGUAGCAUUUUUAAAAUCUAUUUCAUUAGUAUUAUGAUUAAUGGUUAUAACUUUUUACAUUGCAAAUUUUACAUGUUAACACUUGAAACUGGUGCAAACGUUGAAAUUGCUAUCAGGUCCUUGUCCGAUUUCCUUCUGGAGAGCGCAAGGAAAGAAAGUUCCACAGUUCAGCUACGGUCAGCUCCCUCUAUGACUAUGUUGAUUCGUUGGAUUGCUUAAGAGCUGAGAAAUACACCAUGGUUUCAAACUUCCCCCGCAUCUCAUAUGGUCCAGAAAAGCAUUCCCUGACAUUAAAAGAAGCAGGUUUGCAUCCACAAGCAAGCUUAUUUGUUGAGGUGGACUCAUGAAUCAUGAUCUGAAUUAUCAAGGGAUGAUGUCCUGGUGGUUAAACAUGAAAAUUUGAUCCCCAAUGUAGAUAUUUCUUUUACUAACUUUUAAUACAAGGAAAGUAGAGGAAAGUACGUUACCGUGUGAGCAUUUCCCUUAUAUACUGCCCUCUGUACCUUUAGGUUAUCAUGACAAUACAUUAUAAUACUUUGGUGAAGAUCAGUUCGCUCGGUUCGCUUGGAGUACCUAGGAUCACAUUCUCAGUUUGGUCAGCAGUGAAUUAAUAACAUAAAAUUGACAUUUCGUAGAGGCAGCUUCUCUUGCUCUAUUUUGCUCCUGUCAAAUCUUGGUAAUGGUACAUUACACUUUGAGAAAUAUCAUCUUAUAAGAAAAUUUGAUUUCAGAGUGGCUAUUCAGAAGAGUUGACUGUUUUAAUUUAGUGUAACAUCCUAACCUGUUGUAUUAGAUUACUAUUGAUCGCACUUGAGAAUCAAGAACAGAUUUAUGUUUUAAUUACGAUUUAUUAUUUAUCUUCAACUUUCUUUCUUUAUGAAUCGAAUUCUCUUCCACAUGAUGAAAAAUAUUUGAAAUCCAGGCAAAACAGUGGUGGAUGGCUGCCCACCAAUCCCAGGCUUAUCCUUGUCCUUACAUGAUUUUUGGACUCGGCCGCCUGCCUUGUAAUAUUACUGUCGCUUUGCACUCUGCCAUGUACAUGGAACAGCUGGUGAGCGGCGACCAGUUCUUUGGCACAUGAAACAGAAUGCAAGUACAGCUGGUCCAAAUGCAUGCCCCCCCUUAUUAUUAUUAUUCUUUUCUUCUCUCUUUUCAGGGGAAAGGCACGCCUCCUGUAAUGAACUAGGUUUUCGGUUGCACGUCGUGGACAGGGUAUGGCGGCUGGUCCCCUGGCCUUUUGAGAAGAAGCUCCAGAAAAGCUCAUGUUACCAACAUCGCCUUCCCGAGGCAAGUAUAUAUGCUUCGUUCUUUUCAAGAACCACUAGAAAGACAGGUUUCCAAGUCUUGAAUGAAAUAUGUGCACCUACAAUUCAAGUAUUGGAUUUAUUUGAUGCCAAACAUAUGAACACUAACACCAAAGGACCAUUUCUAUCAGUAUUGUCAAUGCUUACAUAAUUUAAAGAGUUGAAUAGAUCAAUAUUCAUAUCUGGCCUCAUUUGAUAUAGACUAGUAUCCUCUAACAGUUUGUCAUAAACUACGGCAAUGACUGGGUCUGAAAAAUGUGUAGGGUAACGUCGCGUACGGUAAUCAUAACUACCAGCAUUUACCAGCAACUCCUGUUAACCCCUGGGUGCCUGCAGACACGAAAAUGGGCAAGAAGUGAGUUUCUGCUGGGAUCUUGCAAAUUGACAGUUCUUCGGAGCAUCACGUCUUAUUCUGCUGGGAGCUUGCAAGUUUUAUUCUCUGGGCUACAAAUGCACAUACUUCCAGCGAAACAAAUAAAUGAAUACACGAUACUGAGAAGCUGAUACUAGGAUAAAUUGAUGCUCCAUUUGUACACCUUCACAUCAAGAUCUGAAGAGUUUUCAAGUGCCUGUGCUAGCUCUUGUGCACAAUGACGGUCCUUGGCGAGUAGCAAUGCGAAACCACCUCCACCCGCACCCACCAGCUUGUAGCCACUGCAGUAGGGUUCGGCAAAGGCAAAGAGCUUGUCCACAAACUCAUUGCUGCAGAAAGGGUCCAAUUCCUGGUGCAGCCUCCAAGCCUCUAGCAUUAUGUCACCCAGUUCAUCUAUCUCACCAUUCAUCAGAGCUUCCCUCCCAAUCUUGGACAAUUCUACAAGACGCUUGAUGCUGGAUAUUAACAGAUUAUCUCUGCGGAGAUACCGAGCUACCACCUUCUGCAAAACUUGGUGAGCAAGCCUCACCUGCAUAUUGGCUCAACGGAUUGUGAUAAAAAGAACAUUAUACGUCAGGUGAAAUAUUGCUGUUCGACCAACUUUGGUAAAAGAAAAAUUAUAAAGAAGUGAAACAGAAAAAAUCUGCGAUAAAUAUAAAGACUACACAAUGUCUAUAUACCCAUUUUCUCCUAGACGUGUUAAGAUAUUAUGACAAAAAUAAAUUUCAAGAUUAUAGGAGAAACCUACCAGAUCAAAGGAGAGUUAGUGGAAUACCGAAAUGCUUCUAUGGAAAUCCAUGCAAUCACCACCCCAUCUCCACCACAUUACCAUUUCAUUAAAAUGUUUACAGUUGGAGUUUCACAUUUGUCAUAAUAAGAUCAACAAGCUAUACUUUGUUCUCAAACUACUAAUUUUUCUCCCCAUCUAAAUCCACCAGAACGUAACACAAGAAUGCAAUUUUGACAGAAGUGUGCAAAACUUGUGCAUGCACAUACAUGAUGUGGGUGGAUGCCCAAAUAAAGCAUGUACUGUUCCUCCCCUGAUUUAUAAUACAAAGAGGUAUCUAACCUUAAUCUAUGACGCCACACUGUUAUUAUAAAUAGUAUACUUUUGAUUGUGACUGCGAAUCUAAUAAAGCUGACAUCCUAAAACUCAUCAUCAUUAGUAUAUACAUAAACAUCAGACUAAUUGAUACAUAUAUGUAUCCCAACACAAAGCCAAUUUUCCUAACAUUGUAAAGUAUAUAUAGUGCCAUCUGAUUUGAAAAUUCACACCAUUAACCAUGAUCUACAACAUUGAAAAUACCAGUAAUCAGAAAUUUGUAGCCUUUUUUUUUUGAUACAUCAAGUAAUUGACAAAUUUUAAUAACCACCUAAUCUGAUUUAAGCAUGACUAUAUGUACUUUAACACACAUACAUCAUGAAUAAUAAUGAAGAUUUUUGUCAGCCACCAUGAAUCACAAUACACCUGCUUUAUUGUUGCCAUUUGUUUGGCAUACACUUGGUGCUUCAGUAACAAAACACCAACUAUUUGGUUUUUCUUUCAUGGCAAAGUUUUCCCGUCCAAUCAGAUUGGAUGCGGAACCCUACUCCAACCACUUUGACCAACCAAUUCAUUCUAAGGACUACCUUACAAAUGUUAUAUAUCCUUAUACCACACACCUGGCAUUAAGUUUUAAGCUGUUGACGUGCAACAAAAAUAAUGCCUAUAUUAGCUUUAAGAUUGGUGCAUCUUCCAUAGUUAUCAUUCUAUUGGAAUACCAAUUAGUUAUCAGUCUAUUGGAAUACAACCUCAUAACAACUAAUGUCGAUGCACAUCAACAGCCAUUAAGUAAUUGACUUUAUUGCAGCAGAAUUAACUUGAAGAAUGUAAUCUAGCUCCACUACUACACUAUCAAUAGACAGAGACUGUUGUGAUCAAACAGAUCUGAGGGCAAGACUUGUAGGAUAAUUUUAAAGAUGGGGUAGCAGAAUAUAACUCCAGACCAUCGAACAAAACCCAAAAGCAUCUGUCGCCCACAAAUAGGGCUGAAAGCAGAUCGGAUUGUAUCCGACCUAUCCCUUUCUGUAUCCGAUUCGGGUCGGAUUCGGAUACUUUUUUUUUGGUCCAAUCGGAUCCAGAUAGUUAGUUCAAAAAUCUCCUUGAUACAGAUACGAAUGCGGAUGCCCCUGAUUUUUCUAGAUCCGGAUCCGGAUAUCCAUAUAACAAGAAAACCAAUGAAAGUGAUUAACCAAACAUAAACUAAAAGAAACCCGGAUAUCGGAUGACUGCCACUUAAGACAGUAACCCAAAUAUAGCAUACUUGAUUCGAAUAAAAUCCUUCAAAUCAUCCUGUAUGCCUGAAAGGCUCAAACCUCUCGUUCGUCCGUUUCAUCCCUCUUUCCUCUUCGUCAUCUUCAAGCAACUAAGAUUUCAAAGGUUUCAUCCACUUCCUAGUUUCCACCGAGAGAUUGCAACCAGCGAUGGCCUUGAGAUGUCUUGGAGGCACCAUAGAUCCCGUCUACUUUGGUGACAAGCAACUUUGAGCAGUAUCCUCUAUGAAAUUGUUAGUUUUUAUUAUUGAUAAAUGCUUAUUAAAAUUAUAUUUUUUUAAUUGAACCUUUUCUUUAUGAUCAUAUCUUUAUUGCUAGUUUUCAUCAUUGAAUUUUGCUCAAAAUUUGAUUAAUAUCCAAAAAAAAUAUUCGAUUUAUAUCUGUAUUUCGAUUAAAAAAAUAGAUAUGUUUAAUAUCUGAUUCAUAUCUGUAUCAAUUUAUAAUAAAUAUGGAUACGCUUAAUAUCCGAUUCAUAUCCGUAUCCAUUUAGAAUAAAUAUAGAUAUUAAUUUUGAUAUCUAUUUAAUAUCUGUAUCCGUAUUCGUUGAAAAAUAUGGAUACAAAUAUGGAGAUAUCAAUAUCCAAUCCGUUUUCAGCCCUACCCACAAACCAAAAAUAAUGUCCACAGCCCUAACCAAUGAAUCAAGUUGUCCCAAGAUGGACGAUGCAAAUAGAGCUAGUGCUCUAAAAUGAGUUGUAAGUAAUAAAACUUUAGAACUAAAAAACAGACACUGAUUUAGGCAUCCUAAAACAUAUAAAAACCAAAAUCCAACUUGUCACAGAUUGAUGCACAGGCAAGAGGCCUUCAAAAGACAAUUUUUGCUCUAGGAAUUUUGGAAAUUCUAAAUCACAUCAGUAGCAUAGAUUUUCAUUUUGCAGCCCAAUCUGUUAAUUCAAGUUAAUGUCCAAUAACUUAUGUGGAUUAUUGAAAGUUAUGGGCUUGUUUGGCAUCGCUGUCAGUUUCCGGUUUUGGGUUUCAUUUCGAGAACAUGGAAACCAAGACUAGGAACUCAUUUGGUUACCUGCUUUUUGAUUUUUUGGAAUUGCUUUACCAAAUUUAUGAAAGAAGUGAAAGUCCUUAGGACAAUGGGUGGCAUUUCCUGAAAAACCAGUUUCCACUUAUUUAGAAAAAUGGAACCAUCCAUAACCACCUCUGCCGCCUCCAUCGCCAUUGCCUCCACCAUUACUGUUAGCCCCAGCCAGCAGUCGCCGCUACUCAGCUGGCCGUCUGCUACCACCACAGCCCAAGUGACUACGAAAUAAGUUUUGGGUUUCGAUUUUUGAGAAAAAGGAAAUGGUUUUGGUUUUCAUGAAAAAUAAAAUCUGGAAGUGAUGCCAAAUGGAACCUAUAUUGUGUGCAGUUUCUGUAAUUAAGUGAUACCAAAAUAGGCAUCCAACAUAGUCAUCAGAAUUGUUUGAUGACCAAGCAGCCCAUACUGGCACAUUUGAAUUCAAUAGAUCCCCUAGCUUUAUAAUGAUAUUAUCUAAAUAAUUACUCAAAUUUUUCAAGGAAAAGUAGCAUUGCCUCAUGAAAGAUACAUUUGUGUUUAAUGUUUUGCCAGACUCUUGCAUCUAGCUCAAAUAUCCAUGCUGACACAUACUGCUGAGUUGGAUAAGCACUGAACAGUAAAUGCUAAUCAACUUCUUUCAUGCAUUCUAAAUAUUAGUCCAACUCGACCCAUGGAAUACCUAUAACUACUUUUAAAUGAUCUAUAUAGUGUUACCUUCCAAUAUAUACAGAAAAAAAUCAAUAGAGUGCUUAAUACGAAGGCCACAUUGUUAAUUAAUCAACCACUAAUAAGAUAGCACUCAACGAUAAAGAAGCAAUUUGUCAAUUUUUUUUAUAGAAGGUAAGAUGCUUUAACAAGAGUUAUCUUUUGAAGUUUUCAAUUUUACAAUAUUAAAAAUUAACACAAUUAUGAUUAAUAGACAUUAUUUUUUCCAAUAUAUCCCCAUGCAUACUUUUUUUAUUGCUAAAUCAACACUUAGGAAUGUAGGACAGCCAAGGGAAAGAGAUAAAUUAAGGUUUUAGAUAGGGCUGAAACCUAAAAGGUGCUGGAAAAUUGGGUUCAGACCUGAGUUUUGAUCUACACUGAACUAUGAAAUUUGGAUUUUCAAUAAAAAUUGAUAGCAAAUGCUCCAAAGAAAAUGAAACUAAUGGUUUGUUGGUCGUUCAGAAAUCAGAUCUGAUUUUUUUGGAGAUUAAGGUUUAAUAGGAAGGAUUGAUAGCAAUGAAAUGAGAUUUGAUGCUAGGUAGAGAAACAGAAGGAAAAUAGAAUCUAAGGUAUAAAAAUUGAACUAAAGAAGAAAUACUGAAAACACAAGAAAGACUUAGCAGAUAAACACAGGACAGAAAAAUGAUAGAGCGGUAGGCACUCUGGGACUGAGCAAGCACACCUAGGGGCUGGUCUCACACCGGAUCCAUGCAUCACGCAGAGGUAGCAACUUCAGCAGCCAUUAAUUUCUGCAUAACUUUUCAUUCCACCAAGCAUACAGCACUUAAGACCCUUGACACAACAAAAUAGAAACCCUAAUUCAAUUAUACAUUAAAAUCUCAAAACUACCCCGGGAGAGGCAUGGAACCGUUCACAGUUACUGUAGCAUGAAAAGUACCAUGUGAACAGUACUGUGAGCAAUUUGGAACCAAAAAUAAGACAUAUCAAGUGGUUAAUAAGGAUGUAAAAUCAUGUAAUCUUAGCCCUUGGUUCAAAACAAACAAAUAACUAAAAAAAGGAAAAAUGCAAAAAACACGGAAAAUCGACCACUAAAACUUAAUCUAAAGAUUAUGUCUUGUUGCAUUUUGAGGUGAUUUUGGAUCUCAUUACUUAUAUAUGCAUCUUAGUCUGACUUUAGUGUCCAUCUCAAUAGAACAUUGGUAACAGGCACAUUUAAAUACCUCUUGCAGUUCUAAGCUACAUUAUGAGGAUAAUUUUCUCUUAAUAACCCAAACUUUAGAUAGACUCAAUCACAAAUAUCCUUGAACUACAAAAUUAAAACUAGUUAUCAUUAACGAGAUGCUCCUCGGAUUAGAAUUGCAUAUUCCAAGGCUCUACCAUGUAACUUCAAAUCCUCAAGAAAAGAUAAUUAACCAUGAAAAAAUAAUGCAGCAAGAAAUUUUUUUAGUACCGAAUGAAAGAAAGCAUAAUUACAAUUAUUAAUCCUUCAGAUAUUGAUCAAAAUACAGUAGAAGAUGACACUCCUGAAACUUUAUGUUACUUAAAAUUCUGUAUAAGCAAAAAUUUAAGAAAUUGAUUAAAUCAGAUAUUAUGAAAAGAUAUUUGCCAGGGAUUGGAUUAUGGUUCAGUAAACCAAGCUGAUAGACUAAAAGAUUCGAUGAUCAAUUUAAGCUGCAUGGUUUUUUAAAGACUGUUGCUACAUUUUAAGGGCAAGAGAACAGAGAGGUGCUGAGCUCAUUUUUUGAAGUAGCCUGAUCAGGUUUGGAGAAGAUAUCUGAUAGCUAAACUAAUAUAAUAUAUGAAGGCAAAAAUCAAAAAAGAAAAUAAAAAGUCUAAUUCUGAGCUGAAAAUAAAUAAGAAAGCAAUGCCUUACUUGGCCACUGAAAACAACCAGAAGACGCUGCUCUAACUCCAUCACUAAUUUUGGUGAAGCUACAAGGGGAAUCACUUGCAACCGCAAUGGCUCUCCUGGAAAACUGUAAGUGCAUUUAAUGCCAGGGUACAGGCCUCCAAUUUGAUCUUGCCAUCCUCCUCCUGUGCCCAUUAUUUGUUCUAACACCAAAACGAUUCUAGCGACAUUCUCAUUACUUUCAUCUUCUUCCAUGAGAUGCAGAAGUCCCUUAACCACAGCUGCAGCCAAUAUGCUGGAAGUUCCCAGACCACUUCCACGUGGAACAUUUGCCCAUGUCCUGAUUCGUAAGCCUGAGUUUGACAAAAUUUUGUGAUAAAUGAUGCCACUCACGUGAAGUGCAGAUUUUACAAGUCGGAAUGGAUCCUCUUUAUUGAAUGGUGGAGAAAUUGAGAUAGGAUUCUCAGUAUAAACAUGAUUUCCAGCAUCAUCCUCAAUUAGAAUGCCAAAGUUUUCUGUUGUCUCUAUCACAGUUCUAAUUGGAAGGGAUCCUUCCAAAUUAAUUGCCAUAUUCAAAACACAACCUGAACGCUCCAAGCUCCAUGGAGGUGUAUCACUCCAACCACCUACAAAAUCAACCCGCACUGGUAAUUCAACGGAUGCUCUUUUUGGCUGAAAAGGGACUCCCUCAAGACUUUUGGAAAGCUUUGAUGAAGUAAUCAAUCCACCAGUUGAGCCAACCACAUGAUCUACAAGUAGAUGUCAGGCAAGUGAAACAGAACUGUAAGAAUAAAGGAUCCUAUAAUAGAUCAUUAGUAUCAUUAUGUAUUUCAAUUGCUUCAUAAUGAUGGAAGAAAUCGGAUCAAUAACAGCCCCCAAAAAAUAAGGAGGUUAAGAAUCAAUAAUACUAUCUUAACCUCCAAUUAAUUAAACUUUUUUAUCUGAUUAAUUGAUAAAAGAUAUCCUUAAACAUCAUAAACUAAACAUUUUUUUCCCUUCCUGAUUUCCGACCUUUAGAAUUAUUCCUUCUAAGCUUUAAUAGAACAUGUGUCAAGUUGGAUCUUUUGGAAAUAAAAAUAAGGUGUUUGACGCAUGUACCUGCAGUUCCAUAAUUUACUGCUGAUGCAGUCUCACUAGCAACUGCAUCCCAUACUUUCUGCUCCACUAUGCAAGCAGCUGGAUCAUCUCCACAUGCCCUAAGAAGAUCGACUUGCACCUGGUAUGCUCUGCUUUGAGGAAGAACACCAUGAUUCUGAUCCUGGAGGCUGGCACAGAGUGCAAGAAAUUCUUUGCAUAUCUCAAGUCCUAAAAUAUCCUUCUGUAAAAUUUCCUCACACAACUGAGACAAGUUGCGUCCAAGCAAACCAUAGUUAAUGCAAGCUCUAGCAAUUCCAGCUGCAAGAUCUGCUUGAUGAUUACUAGAGCCAAUGCACAUCUGAGGAAAAUCUAUGGACCGGUGCAACUCCUCUAAACUGACACGAUUUGAAGUUCUCCACGUGAAGAGCAAGUUUUCCUCCUAAAAUAUCCUUCUGUAAAAUUUCCUCACACAACUGAGACAAGUUGCGUCCAAGCAAACCAUAGUUAAUGCAAGCUCUAGCAAUUCCAGCUGCAAGAUCUGCUUGAUGAUUACUAGAGCCAAUGCACAUCUGAGGAAAAUCUAUGGACCGGUGCAACUCCUCUAAACUGACACGAUUUGAAGUUCUCCACGUGAAGAGCAAGUUUUCGCAGUUGUUAUUGGUUGAACCCAUAAGCCACAUUCCUAGAUUAAGCAUUUCAGAUGGAGACAGGAUGGGGAAUAACUUUGCAUUCCACAAGCAUUUCUCUUGGGUGGCUGAGAAACCCCAUAAAUCAGUUUCUUGAAUUUUUAGAUCAUGCAAGACCUUUCUCCAUGGUUUCCCACAAAAUGUCCCACCCUUUUCAAUUGAAUUUUUUGGGUUAUCCUGGAGCCCACAAUAGAUAUUAAUUCUACCCAUGCACCCUACUAAGGGAACUUGCCAGAGACAAUGACGAUCAGGCAAAAGAAACCAAAAUGAAUUGCCUGUUCGCUCAAAUUCACUUAAUCCAUCAAUGUUAACUCCAACAACAAUGGAUUGGGAACCAAUCUGUACUCUACCCGAUAGUGAUGAGUCAUAAACCAAAGAAUCCUCUCCAAUCGAAACUCCUGGUGAAAUUUUGCUGGAAAGAAUAACAGCAGAUGCUGCAAUAUCACAAACAGUAGUUUCCGGUAUAGAACACAGAUGCCUUCGACCAACUAAUCCUGAAUUAGAGCCCCCUAAAUGAUCCAGAACUUCAAUAGAUGUCCCAAAAUGUAAGAAGGACAAAUCAUCUGAAAAUGGGAUUAAGGAGUAAAUACUGAUACAUUGGAGAUGCAGCACCAACUGCCCAUGAACAGACGACAAUUAUCAAAACAACAACUCCUGAAACUAUAAACAAGCAAAACUCGGUCCAAUAUGCAUGAUAUAUAUAUAUAUAUAUAUAUAUAUGAAAGAAAGGCUAAUGAAAACUAAAUGAGUUAGCUGCAAAUGGCCUUUUCAGCCUGAAACAUUCCUCCAUGGUUUCCCACAAGCUAGACAGAGGUAAACCUGGAACAGCUUAUUGCAACCGCGACUAUAGCAAGUUUCAGCUUCUGCUCAUGUUUUAUAAGUCCUAAUAAAACAACAGAAGUAGGCUAGAGAAAAUCUGGAAAUUUGGAAAUGUUAUUUAAAUUCUUUUAUUCGAUAUAGCAAGCAAUAAGGGGGAAGUACCUUAUAACUUGUCAGUUGAAAUCAAUCAUGUUAUUUUUUUUAUUUUUCUUUUGAUUCACAAAAAUAAUCUUAGCUUCUGCUUCAAAGGAAAAGGAAAAUGAUGCCAGCUUCAGCAUGAAAAAGAGCAUCCAUUUUCACAAUCUUAUACGAUCCAGACAUGGAUCCAAUCCAAUCCAGAAUAGGUCCUGUUGACUGAACCAUAACAUCCAGAUUUGGCAUGUCUGUUCCUGGUUACUGAAAAAUAACAAAUAUAUCAUAUUGAUGUUUCUCCAGUUUAUUCAUAUUCUAUUUCCAGUGCCAGCACUCACUUCAAUGUUAGAAAGAGCCCAAAGGUAACAAUCGGUGGCUGGAUGAUAAUGAAAGAACUGACAGAAACUGGCCAUUGUAGGUCCGGAGGAAAGAGAAAAUGUCGCAUGGGCAUGAUAAUGCAAAAGAUAUAGAUGAAUACAAAAGCAUUUUAUCAUGAUCUCAGACAAAGUAAAAGAAAUAUAAUGAUCAGAUUUCAGCAUAUAAUUCAAAAGAGGCACCAGAAUAAACAAGCGAGAAAAUCACUAUAAAAUAAUGCUUGUAACCAAGGUUCACUAUCUCAGUAUCGGACCUCACACCAGUGCCAUCUGGUACAAUAUUGGUAUGCCUGGUAUAGGGGUUGGUUCGACAUAUCGACACUUGGUAUGCCCUCUGUACCAAACUAAUACGAUAGGUAUGCCCAAUAUCUAUCGGUACCAAUCGGUACGGCAUACCAUGGUUGCAACAUUUGACUGUAGAUUAAAUUUUAACUAAGAUGAUGUAAUAAGAAAAAAAAAUCAAGCUGGUAAUUCGAGUCAAAUGGGACAUACAAGCACAAAAGCUGAACAUCUUCUGACUUCCCAAUGCACUGGUCAGUUCUUUUCCCAAAGGAUGCAGCUUCAACCAUUCAUGUUUUGCAGGCACAAAUGCUGCAACUAGAUCUUCAUAUAAACUCAUCUGCAAUAAUUCUGAAAUGUUUUAGUUUCCUGUUAGAAGCUCAUAAGGCUAAUAUGGAGAUAAAUUAUAGACCUAACGAGAAUGUCAUGAUGCAUGAAAUACAUGUUUGCACAUAUAAGUUAAUGCAUGCCCGGUAUUUUAGCCUAGAUUCUCGAGAGGAACAAGAACGUACUAUAGGAUUCCAGGAAAAAAAGUUUUACCCAAUUCAUUAAAUGAUCAUUCAAUAUAUUCAAAAGCUUAUAGAAUAUUUAUAAAUAUGGGAACUAAGACAUGAAGAGCCUUUAGAUAACUCCUAUGCACUACACUUCUAAUUGCAAGAACCACUUUUUGCUGUACAGGGCCAUAUCACCCAAUAUGGAUCAUACCAUACCAUAUCAGUAGGGUAUCAAAAAUCGCUAGACCCCCAUACCGAGUGUUUGUACUAAGUUAUGUAUUGUACCAACACUCGGUAUGGGGUGUACACGUUGGGUACUAGCAUGGGGUCUGGUAUUGAGACUGUAAAACUUAGCAAGAACCAUGGUCUUUCUUUAGGACUUCAUACGUAAAUAUAUUUGUGCUGUCUAUUUUGCUAAUCAUAGAAAGCUCAUUCUACAACCCAAAGGUAUAUAAUACAACAUAAGUAAGAUGGUGCUUCCUAUCAGAUGCAUCAGAGCUAACACAAAAUCACACUAGCAGAUAUCUGUGACCAUAACAUUUAGCUGAUCAGAAGCCAAAAAAACUCCUCAGAUAACAAGAAAGAUUAUCAGAAAAUUUCAAAAUAAUAAUUGAUCAUUGCAUCAUGUACAUUCAUUUCUAGGGGAAGGGUAUACCAAGUAAAAUUGCAUUAUAGAAAAAAAAUGCCAUCAACUUUAUUUUGUUAGAUGCAGUGUGCCCUAAUGGAAAGAUCAUUGUCUAUUUACUAAACCAAGAAAGAAGUGUCAAGUAAGAAGACAACAAAAUUGUUAUACAUGUUAUUGCUGGCAAAUCUAUGUUGAUUGAUGAUAGCUUGCCUCUUUUCUGCUAUUGAUAAGCUCCAGCAUCAUUGUUUGACUUGAAGAACAUGCAAGCUUAACUAGCUCCACCCAUGCUUUGCCUCUCAUUGCUAUUAUUCCCGUAUCUAGUAGUGCUCUACCAUCAUGUUGGAUGGCCUGGCCCUUCAAAAGCUCUUCCAUUGUUGGUUUUUGUAGAAGAUUAUCAACCAAACAAAGAGAAUACUUCUCACUCACAAUUCCCUCUUUUGCUGCUACAACAACGCCGUGAUUAGUAGCUAUAUCCAGGGUAAUUGGGACAGUGAUAAUGCAGCAAGCAUUGUCAGGAAGAAUCAUGCUGGAGGCAUCAAAGCAAGGGAGAACAUCUCCAGUCAUUAUGAAGAUCCCACCUGCAAGAAAAGGAUCCAAAUCCAGUAAGAUAAACUAACUGAUGAGAGAAAAAGUUGAUUACACAAGAUGCAAUUACAGCUUUAUUAUGGCACACAAGAUCAAAAGCAAAUCUUUUGUUAUUCAAACAGAUAUACUUUAGGAAUAACUCUUCAUUCAACUUAUCUUGUAAACAAAGUCCGGGAAACAAUAUGAACAAGGAAUUGACAUUAGAGCUAUUUGCCCGCACUUUAUCACUUCUGAAAAAAGCAUGAAGUAGACCAAGUUCUAUGUUACCUUUCUAUGGGUAUUAGAAUCUUGAAUUCUGAAAUUAGAUGGAGACCAAAUUAUUGCACAAAGUACAAACCAAAUCCCCAUUCAAAUUUUCCAAGUGUGGAGGUUGCAGAUAUUAUAGUAAACAAAAGGAAAAGCAAUCUAAACCAGCCUUACUAACAAGAUAAACUGGACGACACCUUCAAGAACCCAUGCUUGAUAUGUGAAUUCUCUAGACAUUCUCGUAUGAUAUUAUGAAAUAUUUCUUUUUCAUCAUUAAAUAUUAUUAAAUAAAACCAGUGACUCUCCUCCCAAGCAAUUUUGUACGACAUCUUUGAUUGCACUAGAUAUCCUCUUUAUAGCUUAUUAUAGUUCUUACAAUAUCCUCAAUAACAUGCACCGUUGCAGUAGUCUGCACCUAAACCUGUAUCGGAUGCACCAUACCGUAUCGGUACUGAACCAAGACUAGGUACAAGAGGAGUACCAAGUCUCGGUACAUCGAAUCAGCCCUUGUACCGAGUAUACUGAUACUAUCCUGGCAUAGUACUAGUACGCGGUUUGAUACCGAGAUGACAGAUAUUGGACUGUAUAGAUAGAUGCACAAUCACAUGUCAACACAAAUAUUAUCACCCUGCUGAUAUUCCAGUUGAAAACAGCAUAGAAGGGAUUUAGGUCUGUGAUACAGGCUUUAGCAAAGCAUUCAAACUUGAGGUUUAAAGAUUCUGCUUGGUGGAGCAACCACUUAAGAAGAUAAGGUCCAAUAUGGAUACUUGUCGGAAAAGAUUGAAUUCCAGAUUGGAAGUGCUGAUGUUAUUAUUAGACUUUAGCUGAUGAGAUUACUUCAUCUACACUACCAAAUUCAAAUUUAUAAGUGGACUAAACAUGGAAAUACAUGAUCAAUGUGCAGGCACAUAAGACAAGGAAUGCCAUCUUUCACAAUUCUCGACAUGCAAAAAAGCAAAUAACAGUCCAAAAUAACAGUAGGCUCUGUUUUUAAUGAAAUAUUAGGGUCAAUUUCAGUUAAUGUUAAAUACGGAUAAUUGAUCUAUUAACCUUCAUUCUCAAAAGCUUGUCUUGCACAAGAAGAAAUUGCCAGUAUAUGGUCAAAAAGCAAUGGAACAGGCCCAUCCGGGUUAUCUGCUGCCAAAUAUGGCAGUGGUAGGAACACUUUCCCCAUUGGGUUUGCCCACGGAACCCUUUUAGAAUCGCCUCCAGCAUGAAGUAAUAGUAUAUGCCUUUUGGUCAUAAGGUUUACCAUAGAAGUGAAAGAGCUGUCAUCGCUGGACUGGCCAUUUACUGAAGAUGGUAAACUCCCUCUGUUGUCAUUUGGCACCUGAAGAAGAUACACAUAUCUAAUUUAACAAACUAACUGAAAUUAACUCAUUCAAAAAGAUUCAACAUAAAGCCAAAGGAGGAAGAACUGUCAAAACUUGUCUAGCAUUUACAAAAAUGGAAAAAUACUAAGAACAAGCAUACCAAUAAUAAGAGAAGGUCAAAAAGAAAUUUUUACCAAUGUUGGCAACAUGAAAAAAAAAAACUCCACGACAUCAAAUAAAGGAUGCACCAUUCAGUUACAAAGGAAUAGCAUAGAUGUAAUCAGAAGACUUACUAUAAGAUAGGUAUCAUAUGAUAGGAUUGGAUGUAAUCAGAAGACUUAUUAUUACUAAAUGGACUAAGCAACAGGCUUCUUUCUUCUAUUUGAAGCAAAAGGCAGAAUCCAAUAAAUAGAGUGACCAUGAAACUUUAAUUUUUGCAGAUCAUAGAUAAUACAAGUCAAUGCUACUAAAAUCUCUUCUGAGAUGCAUGACUGAUGACCAACACAUCUAAGGAUUAUUCCCCCAUAAUUGAGAUCUAAAAUUCUAGUUCGUGCCUAUGGUAUCUUACAAGCCAUAUGGUAGCCUAGUCAGCAUGAUGCAAGCCCUCAAACUUUUAGGGGCUACUGACCAAAUAAUACCAAUCCACAUCAGUUAAUAUCAAUGCAUACUAGACUGGCAGUAAUUUGCCAUCUAUAUCAGCAUCAUUUGGCAUGCCCACCAUAUAAGCAAAAAGACCUACUCAAACCUUUAUAUAUUAACAGAUAGGGUCUAACUUCAAAAUAAUCACAUCAAGCUAGAGCUACCCCACUACUCUCAGAUUGAUCAAGAAUUAUACGACGACAUUUGAACUUUUUAUUUGAUGUCAAAUGACAAUUUGCAAUAUGAAACAUGUUUUAUCCUAAGAUUGAGCCCCUGAAAAAGGGAGGAAAAAAGAAAGAUAUACUUCAAAAAGAGAUCAAAGUAUGGAUAAAUGAACCCCCAAAAUAACCAGGUUUCUUAUUGUGUUUAUCGGGUUUAUCAGUUUGUAUCAGUUUGUGCCAGACUGUAUUAGACCAACAUAAGCCAAUAGACACUGGCACGGACUAUCCCUAGUUCAUGCUACUGAAUCGUGCUAAAAUCUAGCUAAAUUCCACUCAUGCAGCAACCCCUUUUCUUUCAUGGUUUCAUUUCUGUUUUCCUCUUUAACAGAUCUCCUCUAUAAUUUAUUUCUUGUGAAAUAAUAAUCAUCAAUUUUACAAGACAUAUGUCCAGAUGUCACAUUAACAUGAUUGUCAGUGCUAGCUUCAACUAGUCUUGACCACCUCCAAAAGCCAGCUGAAGCCCACCUAUCUACUUUCUUCAAAAAGCUUUCCCAGCAUCCAAUGCACAGCGGAUGACACUGGAAAGAGACUAAUCCUUCACAAUCCACACUUCCAGAACAAAGAAGCCUUUGAAGCGGUAUCACAAGAACUCAAGGAGAAAGCAUGCCUCUCUCUCUUAAAUGGUAGAUCGACCAAAAGGUCUCCAAGGCCACAAAAUCUCCAAAACGGUAAUCUAAGCAGGACCAUAACUAUGUCUCUUGUAAAACUAAAUUAACCACAAGUCUUUCUUGAAUCUUGAUUUGUCAUCAGGCUUUGAUUCUCUUUUUAUGAAGGGGGGAAGAAGCCAAGCGGCAAAAAGCAGGUUCCAUACCAAAAAAGCAUCCAUAAAGGGAAAAAGAAAAGCCCCUGCGUUAUACAUCAUGGGCCCUCAAAUGUCAGAUUCCUUAACUAACUGUUGAAAAAAACAUAAAAACACCAAAUAAUCAAGACAUCAUCAGAGAAUCGACCGUACCUACCAGAAAGACAUAUCCAAUCCAUAAUAAUGUACCCAAAAAUAUAACAUUCAUGCUACUUGAACAAUAUUAAGAAGAAAAUAUCCGUCAAAUGACGAAGCCGAAAUAUUAAUGCACAAACAGCUAAUCGAAGGCAAUCAAACCCAUCAAUACAACCAAACCCUACUUCAGGAUGUACAAUCAAGAAAAUCCCACCAGCAUUUGCUCCGGGGAGUGCAUUAAAAAAAGAAAGGAAAACACAGAAAAGAAUCUCGAGAAUAAUGAGGAGAAGGCAUGAAACCUCGUGGAGGAGGUGGCGGGCGAGGGUGGAGAUGGCGUGGAGAGUGGCGGCGCCGGAGCCGAUGCGGGCGCCGUCGGGGUCGGGGACGGCAAGGGUGAUGGUGGAGGGGGCGAUGCGGCCCAUGCGCUUGGCCCGUCGGAGCUGCCAGUCGUAGAGGGCGGCCUGCUCGGGGCUGGCGGCCGUGAGGACUAUGGCGUCCCAGGUGGGCACCCGCGCGGGGUCGCGCACCGACAGCCGCAGCCGGUACCAUGAUUUCCGGAGAACCGCCGCCAGAUGCUCGGCUCUGUGGCACCUCCUCCUCUCCCACCUCCUCCUCUCCCACCUCCUCCUCUCCAUCCCUCACACCCUCUCUAUUCUCUGUGUCUCCGUAAUUGCGGAGGGUAGAUCUAUCGCUAUUCAAGGGAGCGGUCGAGCCAAGGACGCGGAAAUGGAGAAAAAUGAAAGGGUUGAAAAGAAUAUAUAUUAUACAUUAAAAGAAAAACCGAAAAAUAGAAAAAUACCGUCGCUGUUGAAGGGUUCGGUCAAGCCGAGGCAAAGAAGGGGAAAUUAAACUGAUUGAAAAGAAUAUAGUUUAAACUAGCGCGCGAUGUGGGGUACUUUUUUUUUCCAAGCUAUUUUUAGAAUACAACCAUACAAUAUAGCAAUAUAAUAAAUAUAAUAAAUAAGAAAGUUUUAAUCAAUAAAUUUCUAUGAAUAUAUAACCGCCUUCACCAGGACACCAACACUGCCUUAUGUUGAGAAUCAAGAUACUCCAUCUAGUAAAAUACAAAGAAUAGUGGAGAAUAUACUACUAAUUUGUUUGAUAAUGGACUCCCAAGUUUUUUUUUUUUUUUUUAAGUACACGGACGGGUAAUAUACAUCUCUAUUCAACAAAAACAAAAAAUAAAAUAGCAUAGAGCGAAACUAAGAUGGAUGAUGCAUAGGUCCACAAGACUUUAUUAGAAUGCUAUGCAACAUAAGAAAUAAGUCAGUCCGUCGCCCAAUUAGCUUCUUUAUAGACUUAUCUGGCUUCUAGAAACACACUUUCUUAAGCUCCUCCGGAUGUCAUUAAAGAGAAAGUGGGCAAUUGCUAUCCCCACCUAACUCUGGAUCUAUCCAACAAUUGUGGUUGAGUGACCUUUGACAAUAUUGAAGUCUACCCUCAGAACCUGCCUCGCAUAGGUAAUGCCAACCCAAGCCGUCCUCAACUCCGCACUAGAAACAAAAAAUAUCAAAGAUCAGAGUUCCACUAGUAGCCGCUAAUCUAGAGUCCAAGCCUAAGAUGACGAAACCAGCUCUCCCUACAACUACCAUCCAUUAUACUACUAUCAAAGUUGAUCUUGAGGAAGCUCGAGGAUAGAAGCUUCCAUAUGAUAAAAACCAUCCGAAUCACUACAAAAGCAGAAAAGAAAUCUCAGAUAUUUCGAACUAUCGCAGUCCCUUCAGUAAUAGACAAGUGAAUAACUUUAGUGGCUUGUAUUAAAGCUCUAUCCAGGAUAAAUCUUACCGAACGCCUACUACAUUCAAAGAUAUAGGCGUUCUUGGCCAGGCUAACAUGACAAGCAUCGUAGACGCCCAGUGCCCUAGCUUGUAUGACAUUACAGUAUAAGACAUACAACGCCACCCCACAGAAGAAAGAAAGGAAUCAUUUUUACGAAAAAAAAAUAGAGGGAAGAAGAGAGAGAUGCCGAACCUGAUGCGAAAAUAGUCGCAGAAGGAAAAAAAAUUAAAAAAUGAGCACACGCUUAACGACCGCCUACAAGUUACCUUGCGUAAAUUACAAAUCCAAAGCGAAAUUUCUUGGAUGCCAAUAAACUAAAACUGACUAAAGAUAAAACAUGAACAACACAAAAAAUCUAGUAAAAGGAAUUCCAACGAAACUCAUUCUAAAAUUCAAAAAAGGAACCAAUUUUAUCGAAAAACAGAAAACGGGAAAGAGAGAGAGCGAGAAUUUAUGACGUUAAGAGCCGACUCCCAUCGGCUAUUGGAAAUGGAGCGGUGCAGCACCUCAAGAACAGCUCCGGGCCAGGCCUUUGGCUCCAUUCCACCCCUCACGAGAAAGCAAGCUAGGCAACCUAAUUACUUUGACUCGGAGGAUUGAGAGAUUUUUUAUUAAUGCUUGUUAUUCACCAUGGAAUGAAACUAUGGUAUAGAAUGAUGAUUUAAUACCAAUAGAUGUUCAUGUAUCAGAUACUUUACAAGAUAACUAGGAAAUAGAUGUGACUUUGUGAUAUAUCAAUUGGCACUUCUGCAUCACCAGCUAUAUUUAGUUAAUAAUGCUAACAUUUCUUGCGUUUUCUUUUAGCAAUACUAAAACUUGUGAAUUUUAAAUUGCUUGGGAACUUAAAUUAAGUAAAUUAUUUCUAGAUGUAUAUAUUCUAAUCAUAGUCAAGAAAAUGUCUUUUUGGCUGCCAAGUUUUAUUAAACUAGUCAACAUAGAAUCUAAGACAAAGAAAGUUGCUGAAUAUACAACAGUGGUUGUUUCCCAUACAACAUGCUUUGAAAGCUUAUACAUUACAUAAAUAAUUAAAAAAUGAGUCUUACAAAAGAAAUUCCUCUACAUGUUGUUAAUUGCUUUAAUCAAUUUGUAAAUAGGUUGACUUAAAUAAAAAUAUCCAUAUGAGAAUAUACACAUCAAGGUCGAUAGCAUUCCACUUAUGCUAUGCAUCUAAUAUCAAUACAAGAGGAAGAAUGUAUUUUACGAAUUGUUGUAAUUCUACUAAAUAUGAAAUAGUCAAGAGGAAAAAAGCAAGAAUCCAUAUCAGUUACUCCAUUACAAAUCUCUUUAAUGAUUAUAAUUCAUAUGGAACGAUGAGAUUAUGUAGGGCCACAAAAAUGUCAUUUUAGAGUUGGCCUGACAAUUAAAAAGUUUGGCUAAAAUGAAGCUGACUUGGGGGAUAAAGUAUGUUCCAAAUUAUUGGGGUUAUGAUAGUACAAAUAGAGAUACUAGAUAUCAAAUGAUGAUUUGCUAACAACAGAUCGCUUAAUUGGUUGGCACCUUUCCCUUGGGCCAGGGCUCAUAUUUUGGACAUUGCACACAAAAAAAUAUAUAAAUAAAUACUUUGGUGUUACAUUGUAUAUAAUGGUGUCUGUGCCCUUCUAGUAUUGAAUUUGGAAUUUAAUGCAUAUUCAGGUAAUGGACCUUGAAAGAUUAGCUAUGGACCGAUAGGUGGCUUUCUUUAUGGCUGACCACUUCAGUAUGGUACUCUAGACCGAUAUAAUGCUUGCUCUGAAGAUUUUUCGAGACUUGUUGCUUUCUGAGUCUCUUGGUAAUAUGAAAUAUCCAUUUUAACAUCAUAUGCUACUUGUAGAUAUUAUAGGAUAUAGGUUUGACAAAUAUAUUAUACAUUAGUGAAGUAUAUGUUUCUAUCUCAAGUUCCAUUGCUAACCUAGAUAUAUGGAGGCCAAUUAACGAUAAUCGCAUUUCUACUAGCAAAAAAAAAAAAAAUGUUGGAGCCUUAUGCUUCACCUAUUAGUUGAGCUUUAAGGUGAACGGAAUUUUAUUGGCACAAGAUUUUCAUUUUAGUAGCGUAGAAAAGAAAAGCAAAAGCCUACCUAAAUCUUGCCCAAUAAAUAACAGUAAAACAUUAUUAAUUUAUUUGUUAUUUUUAUUAACCACAUAGCUUAAUUACUACUACAAUUUUCCAAUCACUGGACUGACACAACAGGCAAAUGCACAUCAUUUCUAGUAUAUAUCAAGCCUUUGAUCUAUUAAACUUUUGACUCAUACAAAAAUUCAAUCACAAUUUAUUAACACUCAUCAUCAAUUUUACUAAGAGCUACAUAUGGCACCAUGCAACUAUUUAUUAUUUUACCUGAAAAUACUAUAAGUGUUGGUAGAUGAAAACUAGCUAUAUGUGGUGUGAAUUAUAAAAAGCUCCACUUCAAAAUGAAUGAGCUCUAAAUUGAAUGCGUAAGUCUUUAAGAGUACCAACAAAUGAUAUGAGAUAGGAUUCGUAAUAUCAGAAAAAAGAAAAGAAAAGUUAGAGACACUUAAUCCCGAAGAUUUGGGGGAUUGGCAGUGUUGCCAUUAUAUCCGGACCGAGGUAGGAGUACAACUCGGAUGUCCUUGAGGUCAACUAGAGACCGACUGUGCAAGCUGGUUGAGAUGUUAGGUGCUGGACUCCUCUGCUGAGUGGCUUACAAGAAGUUCACUUAUCGAAGUAUUUCUGACGAAGAUCCUCCGAUAUCUAAGUCAGAACAACAAGAUAACAAUAGGAAAGAGAGAGAUUUCAGCAAAGUGAGGACUCUGUAAAAAGAGUAGCGUAUUGCAUAUCUCAGGUCCCGAGGCAGUGGCUGGUGGUACGGCCGUGGUGCAAGGGUCAGUCCGUGUGGACAGAAUACGGUGCAGGUCUGAUGCAAAACAUGGGGCUACCAUGAUCACGGACUAUCAAGAUUGUCGGUUGUUGGGGAUGUCAACCCUUGUCGACGCGUGCCGGUUGUUCUCCGUAGCUAGCGACUCCUCAGUUGAAGCCGAAGUCGUUCACCUCGAUUUAUAUCUGAGAACAGAGAAUUCGGUCAAGCUCGAGGUCAAGGUGUCCAGUAUUUCUUCAUCGGGUAGUAUUAAGAGAUAGGCUAUCCCUACUUUGUUGUUCAUUAUACACGAGCAACUUCUAUGAAAAGAAAAGAAAAACUAAAUCAAAUAUAUAUACAUAUACAUCCUCGAUUUUAAGUAAAUAUUAGUAGCAUUAUGAUUGAACAAUUUAUAGCAAUAUGCAUAUAAGUUUAGCAUUGAUUAAAAAAAUUGGGUGCACGAUAUGGUGAGAUUCCUAAGUCGGAAUACCUCUUGAAAGGUAGGAGUUACCUUCUAUCCAAAAAAAAAAAACAACCCCGACAACCCUCCUCCAACCCUGACAUUUUCAGAUCUGGCCCCUCUUUUGGACCCAAUUCAAACCAGCCGGAUCAACCACUUCGCACGCCCAAACGUACCAAUCGUGGGGCCCACAGGAUUCUGCCCUCGCCUGGUCAGAAUUUGUAGGUUCCAAAUUGGCGUCUCCCCUUUCACUGUCCAGGUCGGAAAAUAUAGCAAGAGGCCAAAAAGGGGACGUUGGUUGGAAUGAAAUGCCUCUCGCCUGACCCUCCCCUCCGCCACCGAACAUUUGUCGGCUCCUUCCUUCUUUUCCGCUCCCCACCAAUCUCUCAUCUUCUUUCCCUUCCUCCAUUAGCAUCAGAUUCAGAGGGUUUUGUUUUUCGUUUCUUCCCGUCCUUCCAAUAAAACCUAUCCAUCUCUCUUCUUUUCUUUCUCCCCCUUCUCUUUUUUCUUCCCUCUCCACACUUCUUCUUUCUUUUCUUUUAUAUCAAUAAUGGGUGGCUUUGUCUCAUCUUCCUAGUAUCGAGCUGCGCGGCUCCGUGCUCCCCGAAUAGAAAGAGAGGAGGAUGGUGGUUUCUUGGAAUUGGGAAGAGACUUUGGUGAGAAAAUGAGGGACAGGGGCCGGUCAAUUGCGGGUGGGGAUAUGGAUCUGGGCUCGUCGGAGAUCCCAACAGUCGGAUGCCGGUUCCGCCUGCGGUCGGCGUUCGAUUCGUUCUCCGUCGCUUCCGAGUCGUUCUCUGAAGGCUGCCGUCGGGUUGCGAUCGGGUUUGUGGCUCAGGCCAAGCGGCGACCUUUGGAGAAUUGAUUGCUAUUUCUCUCUCCUCCUGUCUUUUUAUAGACUAUUAUACGCACCUCUUGCUAGUGUCUGUUCUUCGGAAAUGGAUCGCUAUAGAUUUGGGUUUCCGAGGGACGUGGGCGGUGGCGAUUCGGAUGCAGAGUGUGUCGAGGUUGAUCCUACCGGGCGAUACAUCCGUGUAUCUCCAUUCACCCUUUUUUUUCCCUUUGAAAUUGAAUUGGAUCUAUUGUUUCGGUAUUGUUUUAUUUGCUUGAAUGAAUAAUUGCUUACUUAGCAUCGCUUGGUUUGUAAAAUUCUUAUUUUUGUGAUACAAUCGAUCCAUUGAUGCUUUCAUCAUUCGAAAUAUGCUGAAUUGAUGUUAAUAGUCAAGUCAAUGUUCAUUUCCGAUGAUGAUUUUGUUCAAGCGAGCAUCUCAUCGUUUGGAUUCUGUUGCAAAUUGAUUAUUUGUUUUCAAGUCAUAGAAUAAUUUGUCUGAUAUUACAUUUAUUUGUUUUCCAUGUUGUUUCGGUGCUUGCAGUACAAGGAGAUCCUGGGGAGAGGAGCAUUCAAGACAGUGUAUCUAUCGACAACCCUUGUCUUGGUCCUUUAUUUUGUUGUCUUGCACUUUCCUCUAAAUAAUUUGUUGCCAGUAAUGGCUAUAUAUCAUACAUUUCUGACACAUAUCUCCACCAUGUAGUUAUAAAGCAUUUGACGAGGUCGAUGGGAUAGAAGUUGCAUGGAACCAAGUCAGAAUUGAUGAGGUGCUGCAAUCUCCAGACAACCUCGAAAGGUUGUAUUCUGAAGUUCAUCUGUUGAAGUCUCUAAAGCAUGAAAACAUUAUCAAGUUUUAUAACUCAUGGGUGGAUGAUCAGAAGAAGACCAUUAACAUCAUUACUGAGCUAUUCACUUCCGGAAGCCUAAGGCAGUAAGUACUUGUUGUACUACUGUUACCUUUUAGUUGGCUAGGUUAUAUCUAUAACUGGAUUUUAUUUUGUAAAUUUGCAGAUACCGUAAAAAGCAUAAACAUGUGGAUAUGAAGGCAAUAAAAAAGUGGGCAAGGCAGAUUCUUCGGGGCCUGGAAUACCUUCACAGCCACAGACCUCCUAUUCUUCAUAGAGAUUUGAAGUGUGACAACAUCUUUGUCAAUGGAAAUCAUGGAGAAGUUAAAAUUGGAGAUCUUGGAUUGGCUAUUGUCAUGCAACGGCCUACAGCUCGUAGUGUCAUCGGUAAAAUCUCAUUCUUAUUCUUCCAUUUCUGUUAAAGACAAUAUUAUGCAUGUAAUGAUGUUGUGUGUGUGUGUGCGUGCAACAGGGAGGGGGGGAAGCGUAUACUUAUGUUACUAUUAUGUUAUCUAAAUUGAAACUCUAACUAUUCAUGAAUAAAUGCUCAAAUAAUCUUUUAUAUUAUUUUGAAAAUUUUUAGUUGUUCAUAACAAGAAUUUCGUGACUAACUCAUGAAUUUCUCAUGAUAUAUAUCUAGUUUAUUUAUUAAUUGUGCCACUUUCAUUUGUUUUUUUUUGUUGUUGUUGUUGUCUCUCGUGCUUAUUAUAUUUUGCGUGCUAUUUUUUGUAUCAUCUAUAUCUUUUGUUGUAUAAACUUGUUGAUAAAUUUAUCUAUUAGUUCAAACACUCAUAGCUUUUAUUUGAUAUUUUUGUGAUAAUGCAUGUAGGUACACCUGAAUUUAUGGCCCCAGAACUUUAUGAAGAGGAAUAUAAUGAAUUGGUUGAUAUUUAUUCUUUUGGAAUGUGCAUGUUGGAAAUGGUUACUCUUGAAUAUCCUUACAGUGAAUGCAGAAAUCCAGCUCAAAUUUAUAAGAAAGUAACCUCUGUAAGUUUAUUAAUUUUUUAACAGUUUAUAUAAUUGGCAAUGGCAUUUGUGUUAAUUUGUGUUUUCUUUGAAAUCAUCUUUCUUGGGUUCUCUUUGCAGGGGAUCAAGCCUGCAGCACUUGCUAAAGUUACGGAUCCCCAAGUAAGACAAUUUAUUGAAAAAUGUUUGGUUUCUGCUUCCGAGAGAUUGCCUGCAAAGGAGCUCUUGAAAGACCCGUUUCUUCAAUAUAAUAAUUUGAAGGAGGCUGUUUUUGAUCAUGUUGAUUCAUCAAAUGUUAAACCAAAAGUAUUGAUUUCACAUUCAAAACAAUUGUCAAUGGAAAUAGACUGGGAUAAUAAGUCAGUUCCAGGGAGCUCUGGUACUGGUACAGAGAAUAACAACAUGACUCCACGUGCGCCAAUAUUAGAGUUCCGAAGAAUAAAUGGGAAUAACGAAUUCAGGCUGAAAGGAGAAAAAAAUGAUGACAGCUCAAUCUCGUUGAUCUUGCGUAUUGCUGAUUCAUGUGGUAAGGUUCAAUGAUAAUGACCAAGCAAUAGUGAGCUGGAUUUUAUGUUUAUCUAUUAUUCUUUUAUUUUGUUUUUUCAGGUCAUGCAAGAAACAUCCAUUUUCUCUUUUAUUUGGAUUCUGAUACAGCGCUUUCAGUUGCUGGUGAAAUGGUGGAACAACUGGAUUUAUCUGAUUAUGAUGUUAUUUUUAUAGCUGAUUUUAUUGAUUUCUUAAUCAUUAAACUUGUACCUGGCUGGCAAUCUUCUACUCAUCACUCUUUAAGUGGGCCUUUGAGCAUGUACAGGCAAUCAAGUCAACUUUCAUCCGAUUAUUAUUCAAAUCCACGACAUUCAAUUGCUUCGGUUGAGAUAGGGUAUGAACAAGCUGUUCUCUCUCAGUUGAAUAUGGGAAGCUCAGCAAGGGAUCUUGUGCAAGUUGAUGAUGGCAUAUCAGACAAGAAGAUGGAAGAGAAAUGGUCAAAUAUUAAUUAUAAUUCUAAUUUCAAUGGUUUAAAUGGAGGAGAAAAAGUUUCUCAAGGGUCAGCUACGUCAGUACUCUUUGCUGAAAGCUAUAGAAGUUUAAGUGGGCAUACUGAUGUGGACUCAACAAUUUUGGAUGAUGACGGGUGUAAAGAAGAUAAAAAUUGUAACAUUAGGGAGGGGCUUUCUUCAAAUGGUUAUGUUAGCAAAUUGGAGUUGCCUUUUUCGAACUUAGGAGAACCUUGUGACAAUCCAAAUUCGCUAAGCGGUUCUUCAUCAUUGUCCCUGAUUGAUAAAGAGCAGAAAGAGUUGAAGGUGGAGCUUGAAAUUAUUGAAGCUCAAUACCAGCAUUGGUUUCAUGAACUGUCAAGGAUGCGGGAGGAAGCUCUGGAGAAUGCUAGAAAGAGGUGGCUGAUGAUGAAGAGAGAUGGUUGAUUGUAUCAUUCUCAUCCUUCAUCUCGGUAGCUUUUUUCUUUCGUUCGUUCUUUCUUUCUUUUUUGCUCAUUUAGAUGUGUUGAGCAUUUUAUUUGAAUCACCGUUAGUGUUUUCAUUGUACAGUUCAUGCUGAGUUUGUUGAUAAAUAUGCUUCCAUGAUAUGAGUUGAAAUUUAAGUUCAUGUAACGUGCAUUUUUUGUGGUUGGUUUGAUGGUAAACUGAUGCAACUCAAGUGAAACACUGCAUGCUUGUAUGCAUAUUUUGUUCUUUAUAUUGAUUGGCUUUCAGCAUAUAAAUUCUAGAUCUUAGAUAUGGUGUGACAAAAUAUCAUUCUUUUUUUCCUUGGGAAAUGAAAACCAUACUUUUAGAGCAGAUGGUCUAUAAUAAUCAAGAUCAAAUCUUCAUUAAAUGACAAAGCUAGGAAAGAUGGUGAAGAGGUGGGUCCAAAGUAUUCUUCUCUUUCCAAUUGGCAAAUGUAUGAGCACAUAGAAUAGUUGGUGUUCCAUUGCAUCAUCAGUCUUCAAACCCUUUAUUGCUGUCAUGUAUGAUUAAAUUGAUAGAGAUGCUUCGCAUUUGGGCGAGUUCAUAUUCUCUCCUUUUUUUUGAUAAAAAAUUAUUUGAAGCUCCCUUGCGAAUAAAAAUGGUGCUGUUCACACUGAAAAUGUGACUCCUGGUUAAAGAUUGGACUCUUCCAGACAUUCUUGAUUGAACAAGAUGAUAAAGUAGCUGGUGAUCAUCCAGGCAUCCUAAGAGAGCACCUAGUCUGCUGUUAUGUCAGUUUGCCAUUUAAUCAUAGCAUUUUUCUUAAAUUUCAUUUUAAUCGGGAGCCAUGAGCUGUCUCUGCCUCAUCUUUUCAGUGGUAAUUUGAUUUGCAAAUUAUCUGCACAGAUCCUAUUUGGACGGUGCUGGUGACCUUUUAAAAGGUGGCUCUUAUAAUAUGACUCAUAUCUAUAUAUAUAUAUAUAUUCUUUAGUUGAUAUGUACAACAUUCCACUAUAUUCCACUUCACUUGUUUCUAAAUCACAGUAACUGCAUGUCUUAGUUAUAUUUUACUACAAUAACAAUCCUCUUUCAUUUUCUUGCUACAUUUCAGAGUUGGACUUUGGCUUCAUGAUUCCCACCACCAUGCCACUUAACAGAAAUUAUAGAGAAUAUUGCAUCUGCAUAUUUGUGACAUGGUUCUAAGCUAACAUGACAAUGCGUAAUUGGAAGUGAUUAAGAAAGAUGUACUGACAUGUGUGCGUAAGAGAGUAUGCAGCCUUUGCAUGGUUAUAGUGCUACGAAUAACCUUUCAAGAAUCUAUAAAGAAAGUUAAAAACGCCUCCAUGUUAGCCUGUUCUUCCGCUUCAAUCAUUGCUUCAACUUUUUGAAAGAAAAUAAGUACCAUGGCAUCAACAAAGUGAAAUUCCAUAUGCUGACUGUUUUACCAACAUGUUUAAUUGGUGAUAAAUAAUCAAAUAACUUUUCAUGAUAAGGCCUCAUUCUGAGGAAAUUUUUAUUGAGAGCUUCACAUUUUCCUAUUUAUUGAGCAGAUCAACCUCCAGUAAAUUCCCUGUAGUCAAAGUAAUGGUAGCACUAUUCAAUCACCAAAUGAUCAGGUUGCAUCGUUCUCAUGUUUUAAAAAAAAUAGUCAUGAAACAUUUGCCCUAUCUUUUGGUAACAAUAAAACAUUUAGUACCUCCAUUUAGUACCCAUACUAAUGUAGAGGGUGAUCGAAUGAUCCAUGGAGAUCCUUCUUCUGCGACUUGAAAGAUACUUUGGUCAUUUCUCAAGAGUUGGUUUCCUCAGGUGGAUGGUAAUUUUUGCUACAAUCAUCUCAUUUCCCCUUGGAUCCUCAUCCACCAGAUGUGUAGGAGUGAGAAUAUUAACAAAUGAUUGCAAACGCUGUACACGGGGCUGAGGAUCAUUAUCCAAUGGGAAAAGCAGCAGCAUGACCAAAACUUUCCAUUUGGAAGCACCAGGGAUAGCACAUCAUUUCCCCCUUUGUUAUGCAGGAGCCUUGCAGUUGGAAGCAGCUCAUCUAAGCUCAUCAAACACUUCGCUGCUGCGAUGGUCAUUAACAAGCUGAAACUAACAGCAUUCAGGCUUGCUAGGGCGAAAACAGAACUAAAUGCACAAAGAGGAAUAGGCACUUUCCAAACCUACCUUGGAAAUGGGAAAUUAUCUCUUCCUUCCAGUCAAGAUCAGAUGAUGCAGGUAUAAUCAAUAAAGGGAACAAGACGAAACAAAACGACAUCUCAAAUAUGGAAGGAAGACAUCUGCAAAUUAGUAGCAUAUGCAAAUUAAGGACGAAAGACAUUUAAAAUGUUGGAAUCAUUUUUUCCUUGUCAAGUAAUGGUCUUGCAUGCCGAAACACUAAAAUCAAAUAUCACGAUUUGCAGGGAAUUCUUUAGCAUGCAAAGAAUGCAAGAGCAGAUGCAGGUGUCAAAAGAUCAGUCAUCUCUCCAUUCAAAUUGACAUCCCUCAUUGCAGCACAUGUAAAAUGUUGUCAUGGGCUCAUCAGCAGAUCGGAUUUGCAUCUGCCUGAAGUAUGCUUCUCCAUGAUGACAUCUUGGACAGGUUGCUGCAAGAUAAAAAGCAUAGAAUUUGUCAGCCAGCAUAAUCAAGUUUGUAAAAACAACUCAUAAAGCCCUUCUUAACUAUCAAUAAAUGCUAUACGGGUUUCCUCCAAAAAACCAAAUGCUAAACAAGGGAAAGGUGCAAUCUGAAUCAGCUUGCUUCAAAGUGCUCUAAUUUAUCCGACAAAUUGUCCUGGCUCCCUUUCAAAGAAGAAGGAGAUGGUGGCGUCUUGAACAGAGGAAAAAUAUGGCUAGCUUCAGCAAACUUAGAAAACAUGAGGAAAAUAAGAAACUAUUGAACACUUGUGAAUGCUCCAGCAUACUUCAUGUUCUUGACCUUAAAGUCACACGCCCCCACCAUCACAAAACAUCCAUUAAUUGUGAAAAAAGGACAUAUUGGAUCCAAAAAAUUAGCAGUCCUGAAUUUAUUUUCACUCAAGGUUUUAAAUGUGCACAAGGAGAGAUCUAAAAGUAAGGCUAUGAGUGCCUCAGAGGGCCAAAUCACUAGGAGUUGUGUUAUUAGGUGGUUCACACAACAAAAUGAUGGAAUCAAUAAUUCCCAGUUAAAAAUUGACUGGAGAAUAAUAUAGUCUUGCAGACAAAUCUUGUUUGAUAAGUUUGGCUCCUCAAGAAAAAUAUGGUUAGAGUGAAGGAGUUUUCUUCUCAAACUGAUAGUCUGCACUGUCAAAAAGAGAGCCUGCAGACUCUAUACUGAACCUUUGCAGGAAAAUCCUUAUUACUCAAUUAGGUGGAAAAUGUUGAGUGAGAACUACAUCAUUGAGAGAAACAGAUGGAGUAAUGCUUGUAAGUAGUUAGUGGUUAAGAAGGAAGGUGUAAUAGAGACGAGCAGUGUUACCUUUUUUUUGAGUAAUAACAAGCAAUGCUACUUAAGUACAUGGGAUUGGUGAUCAUAAGUGUCUCAGUGUCUGACAAUUUCAACCUCUGGAUAACUCAACAUGGCUGCACUCAUGUAUAAUGCAUUAUACGAAUAUAUAAAUUAAUUGAUAUACAAUACUGCUAAUUAAGUUGAUUAGCGAAUGGUACUUCUUAAAAGAAAUAGCUAUAUAAGAACUGGGUAGGACAUCUCGUUAGAAGUAUUCAGCACUUCAAACUGUUAAAAAUUUGAAGUCUCAUUAGUUGAACCAAAUGUCCAUUGAAACUCCACUUUAAAAGGUUGUGCCAAUUGCUGAUACUUCGGUGAUGUAAGCAAGACACUCCAUUUCUGAGAUGCCAAGGUGUUAGUGUCAUGUUGUACCAUGUCCAUGUUUCCAGAACUUUUGGCAGUUACAAAAUUCUAGAAACUAACUAAUGAUAAAAAGAAUGCUCAAGCACAUUUAUUCUUUCCUGUAGGGAGGCCAAAGCCUAAUAGACAACUAAAAGGUGAUAGAAGCCUGACAUAAGAUUUCGAACUGCAGUAUUUCUGAAGCUGAAGUUUAGUUAGAUAACCAUUUGACAGUUUCCAGUAUUAGAAAUAGUUGACCAGAUAGCUAAUCAGCUGCCUGGUUGGCUUCAUCAGCAAGGUCCACAGGACAUGUUGGUGAUGCCCAUGCAAUUCGGAGUGUGAGUCAGAAGAUUAUGAAUCCAGUUAGUCAUAGUGCUUAAGUCAUUUAUAAAUGAAAUGGCUGAAGGUGUGAUGGUGAAAGGCUUCUCUAAUCGCACCAUAAUUCAGUCAAAAUAAAGGUGCAACUAAAGUAAACACAACUAGUAAGGAAAAUGCUACUAGACCAAUCUUGAUUACAUGGCCAGGCCAAGACCACACAUCUGAAACUUGAUGAAGAUCUUAUGUAAUACAAAGUGCUCGUACAAUUGCUAUCACAUACGAAGUACUUCGUUCCAGCAUUAUGCAGUUUCUAGCAAAACCAUGUAAUUAAAUCUCUCAUGACUUGGACUAGCACUAUGCCUAUAUGAAAGGCAUCAUGGAAAUGAUAUUUGAGAUUGUUAGUCUUUUCAUUGACUGUUUCUGAACCACUUACAAGCUUUACAUUCAAUUUUGUUAGACUCUCAAGGAAAUUGAGAGUAGGUUCUAAUGUAUAUAAAAAGUCUCUAGUAGAAUAUUAAUGGGAAAACGAUGUUUAAUUAUAAGUUCCAUCAGCAUUAGCAAACCUUGAUACAGGCCAGGUACAAAUAGUUUGCGCUGUCUUUAUCAAUCCAUGGCUCCUAAACUCAGAACAUGUAUUCCAGCAGGAUCAUGUCAAAGCAGACAUCAGUUUUCAAGAUCAUCUAAAGUCUCUCAUUGGGGGUGGGGGAGGGGGGUGGACCAUAAUAAUUCUUUCAACACUUUCCAUAAGUGCUUUAAUGAUCCAACAUCCGAUUUGUUCUAUGUGUUGGAUGUCGCCAAAGUCCAACCAACUGGGGGNGUUUUUUGUGACUUGACGAAGAUGAAGUUGCGUCUCUUUGGUCUUUUAAGAGUUAAGGCCAGUCCAACCAAUUGCUCCCAUCUAGUGUCAUCCAUUCCUGAACAAAAGAGAUGUGGUUUGUUCGGUGCCUGUUCAGUCACUUCUGAAUAACUCCUUAAGAGUUAAUGGGAAAAGCUCGAAUCUAAAUUAUCACAACGAAACUGUCUCCAAAGGCGCAUGAAUGAAAACGAAACUUUGCCUUAUCAGUGUGAUAUAAGAAUUUUCAGUUAUCAAGAAAGGAACAACUCCCAUCAAUCUUUGGAACCUUUGGAACUAAAGCUUCUAGAAAUCAUUUUUUAAAGGCCUUCACCUAUGUUUCCUUUGUUGAAUACCAAAGUCAUUAUUAUCGUUUACCUAUCUCAACAUCCUCUCUUUUGCUAUGCUCGUCUUAGUUAGUUUGCCCUUAUUUCCUCAGACUUCUAAUGUAAGUAAAAGUAUUUGUUUCAAGGCCUAUUAAAUGUAAAAACUCAAAAAAAAAAAGGGCUGAAUUUGUCAAACUUGUAUAGAUUUGUAUGUCUCCUCAGAAAAAAAGGGGAGGAAACUGGCAUUAAUGGCAGAUGUGCAGCUUUUAAAGUUGAAUAUAGAGAACAGGGAGAGCAGAAAAAAUUGGAAGCUAUGCUGCUUGAAGAUGAUGACACUUGGGGCAUAAGUCAAUACAAAAAUUAGAUAUGAUAACUGCAAUUGUUUCCAUGGUUCAUAAGAUAUAAAACAUAAGAAUAAAUUUGAACAUAUUGGAUUUACAUGACAUGUAAACAGAGCAUGAGGCUAAAAACAUGACAUAACAUAGGAAAGGAGGAAGAAACUUGGAUGAAUGAAUAUUACAAGACCCACGGCUCCAAUCUAGACGAACUUGACUGAUACUGAUAAACACCACAAAAAAUGAUUAUAUUAUCCAUUACAAUAACCAGAGCUGUCAAUAAUUUGACAAUGGACCCAAGGGAGUUAAGAACAUGGAAAAGAUGGGGCGUUAGUAAUCAAGAAGAGGAACCACUUCUUGACAUGUCAUUAUGAGUAUAAGCCACUGUCUGUGGACUAAAGAAUUUGACAUCUGAAUUUGGCAUCACAAGUUCCAAGAUUUUAAAUGAUGAGAACUCCCAAGUACUAAAAAUUUGCUUUCUUUUUUGUUAAAAGAAAGUUUUUGUUGGUAUUGAAAUCAUCAUGUUAGAAGAACUAGCACCCAAGAACUAUUUAGAACAAAUAAAAAACAGGCGGAGAAGCAAACGUAUAUCAGCACAUGCCCUAAGACGAGAAAAAUUAUUCCGGAAAUGCUUUCUUGAUCAAACUCUGCUUACACAGGAGCAAUGAAUAGGUCCAGAUAAACAAUCUAGCCUAAAAGGCAAAGCAUAAAGAAAACGAGAAGCAAUCAUUCCGAAAACCGUUAAUGAAACCAAGUUCAGAAGCACUUACUUCCGGUUUUGGGAGCGAACUUCAUGGCAUCCGAUCCACUAAAAAUGGGCUCCAAUUCUUUCUUCACCAGAUGCUCUUUCUUAACAAUCUAAGCCAAGCCCAAGCAAAGUUAUACAAGAGGGAAUGAUGGAAGAGAAAGAGAGAGAGAGAGACAGAGGAGGAGAAGAGAGAGAGGCCGUUCACCUUGUUCUCGAUGGGGCAGACGUAAGGGCAGGUGGGGCAGAAGAGCCGCAGCUUCCGCCCGCUGUUUGCCGGCUCGAUCUGCAGCAACAUCGCGCACGUCGGGCAGAAUUCCAUCGCCGACAACCACCUUCAAAAACUCCCUGCUUUCUCCCUCUUUCCUGGAAAAAGAAAUUGGGAUGAUUUCUGUUUGCUUAUUUAUGAUAAGGGAAAAAUUGGCGGCUCUUCUUGAAAAGUUGGAAAGCUUCGAGUGUUCGAUAUCACAGCAUCUCUGCUCUGCGAGAGGAGUUUAAGAUCAAAUCAAGAAGUGGGAAGAAAAAUCUAAUUACGAUUUAAGAAGGGAGCUUAGAAAGUCUUGGACGUCGAGAAGGCGGAAUGCUCGUACUUCGAUUUCUCGAUUUCUCGGUUAGUACAUAACAGAAGCCUAAACCCUACUGGGAGAGAGAUUUCCUCGGCCUGCAACGCAGUGGGGAGUUUGUGGGAUUGGCAAGCCUCGACCAGGACUCGGGCCGACCAACCCACCACGAAAACCGGGCUCCAGCCUACGAUUUAAUGACCGAUUCGGGUAGGCCCAAACCCAACCCAUCGUUUACCCUAGCUUGCAGCACCACCUACAAAAUAAAAUUUUUCAGAGAAUUUUUCAAAUAAAAUACACCUUUUUGCAAAUUCAAAAUCAUUUUAAUCUUUUUUGGGAACAAUAGUAGCCUUAAGCCUUCGAGAUUUGAUUUUUUUCGCCUUAUGAUGUAAGCAUGUUAAAAACUUGGGACAAGUUUUUCAAUUACCUUUUGUACAAGUUUUAAACAGGAUUUAUAAAGUUUUAUGAAGAACAGGAUUCAAAAAUACAACUAAUAUGACAGUUGGUUUAUAAAAUUAUUCAAUAAUAAUUAUAAAAUAAAUAACUAAUACUAUAACUUAUUGGAGUAUAAUAAAUGAGCAUGUUAAUAUAUCGACAAACUUGCAAAAAUCAGUUAUAAAAGAUUUUUGUGAAAAUUCUAUUUAGAAUUUAUGCUGGACCAACUUGUGCAUUGGUGAGCUAGUGUAAAAGAGUGCUUCUAGCCCUUCAGGUCAGAUUUCUUCUUGUUAUACUGGCACAAUGAGAACUUGCACAAGUUUUUAAUAUCUUUUGCAUGCACAAAUUAUUAACAUCUUUAUUCAAGUUUUGCAUAAGUUUUACGUGGAUUUAUAAAGAACAGAGUUUAAGAAUCCAUUAUAAAAUUUACCAUUAAUAAAUAUAUAGAAUAAACAGCUAAAACUAAGGUUUGUUAGAGCACGACAAAUAGGUAAAAUAUAAAGCUAACAUAUUGGUAAAUGUGUACAAAAUCCAUGUAGGCUUUCUACUAUACUAAUUAUAGUAUGAAAUCAUGNNNNNNNNNNNNNNNNNNNNNNNNNNNNNNNNNNNNNNNNNNNNNNNNNNNNNNNNNNNNNNNNNNNNNNNNNNNNNNNNNNNNNNNNNNNNNNNNNNNNNNNNNNNNNNNNNNNNNNNNNNNNNNNNNNNNNNNNNNNNNNNNNNNNNNNNNNNNNNNNNNNNNNNNNNNNNNNNNNNNNNNNNNNNNNNNNNNNNNNNNNNNNNNNNNNNNNNNNNNNNNNNNNNNNNNNNNNNNNNNNNNNNNNNNNNNNNNNNNNNNNNNNNNNNNNNNNNNNNNNNNNNNNNNNNNNNNNNNNNNNNNNNNNNNNNNNNNNNNNNNNNNNNNNNNNNNNNNNNNNNNNNNNNNNNNNNNNNNNNNNNNNNNNNNNNNNNNNNNNNNNNNNNNNNNNNNNNNNNNNNNNNNNNNNNNNNNNNNNNNNNNNNNNNNNNNNNNNNNNNNNNNNNNNNNNNNNNNNNNNNNNNNNNNNNNNNNNNNNNNNNNNNNNNNNNNNNNNNNNNNNNNNNNNNNNNNNNNNNNNNNNNNNNNNNNNNNNNNNNNNNNNNNNNNNNNNNNNNNNNNNNNNNNNNNNNNNNNNNNNNNNNNNNNNNNNNNNNNNNNNNNNNNNNNNNNNNNNNNNNNNNNNNNNNNNNNNNNNNNNNNNNNNNNNNNNNNNNNNNNNNNNNNNNNNNNNNNNNNNNNNNNNNNNNNNNNNNNNNNNNNNNNNNNNNNNNNNNNNNNNNNNNNNNNNNNNNNNNNNNNNNNNNNNNNNNNNNNNNNNNNNNNNNNNNNNNNNNNNNNNNNNNNNNNNNNNNNNNNNNNNNNNNNNNNNNNNNNNNNNNNNNNNNNNNNNNNNNNNNNNNNNNNNNNNNNNNNNNNNNNNNNNNNNNNNNNNNNNNNNNNNNNNNNNNNNNNNNNNNNNNNNNNNNNNNNNNNNNNNNNNNNNNNNNNNNNNNNNNNNNNNNNNNNNNNNNNNNNNNNNNNNNNNNNNNNNNNNNNNNNNNNNNNNNNNNNNNNNNNNNNNNNNNNNNNNNNNNNNNNNNNNNNNNNNNNNNNNNNNNNNNNNNNNNNNNNNNNNNNNNNNNNNNNNNNNNNNNNNNNNNNNNNNNNNNNNNNNNNNNNNNNNNNNNNNNNNNNNNNNNNNNNNAUACAUGAAUCAUACUUUUUUGGCUUGCUGUCAUAAUAUUUUCAGCCAGCGACCGUAUACUACCACUGUAUAAUGUGUGUUUUAUUCAAGAUGUUCUCAUAAAAUAUAUCUUUCCGCGAAUCUUGCUUAAUGAAGUAGAAAGCUUUUUUGCUUGUUUAGAUGCCUGAAUAUACUACCAAUGAGAUGUCUCCAAAGAGGUCUAACGGAAGUAUGAAACAAAGGGAUAAAAACAGACACAACAAUCCAAAGGGACCAGAAGAAAAUUACAGUGCAAUUUUAAGAUUUUCAGGAUACCAGCAAUCAAUCGUUUUAGAUGGGGAGGGUCCUCCCAAAAAAUAUCCAAGGUGUGAUUUAUAGCUUUCCUUGGUAUAUAUCUCUGUUCGAUAGCUCUCGAGUGUGUGAAACAUCAACUAGACAAUCAAUCUGGCCAUUUCGACCAUUAUUGGAUAUGCUUUGAUUUCUGAUAUCUCUUGCUUUAUGGAGGAGAAAAGAACUUGGGAGCUGAAAUGCUGGAAUUGAUAAAAAAAUAAUUAGAGCAUUGCAGCAAUUGAAUAUACCAAAAGGCACCCCCGUAUAGUAAUGAUAACCUCAUAAGAACUGGAUAACCUGACAAAACUUCCACAAAUGACUUGAUUCAUCUCCCAACUGCCAGCCACCAGUAUCAUUACAUCAUUUAGCAAAAGUAGCAGUCAAGCAAGCUGUAUCUCUGUACCUGGAAAAAUUCAUUGAAAUCAAAUGUCAUUCGAUACCUGGCAUGUCUGCCUAAUCCAGCAAAGUACAACUACUAAGGUUAUGAUUAGGAUCAAACCCAGGUAGCUUCAGGGGUUGCUCUCUAUGGGAUGUAAGGUGUUCCUGUCAUGUAGCAUACCGUCGAAAAUAUAAGUGUGGAGAAAUGAAGGUUAAUCAGCAAUGAUACCUCCCUCAGCUAUUGAGUUAUAGCACUCAGGAUUGCUACUUCAUGUUAUACGAGAUGUCAUUUGGAUUUACGACGAAAGUUCGAAUUCGCUAGGGCUGGACCACUUUAAUUCAAUCUUCUGCACAGAAAAACUAAAGAUGAUAACAGAUGCUUGAAAACUGUCUGAGAUAGAUCCAUACAAUACUCAGAUCUUGAAAUCAAUUAAAUACAUACAUAAUAAAUGAACUUGAUUAGCAGUUUUCAAUGAUUCGCCCUAUGGUACUGAACACAAAGUCAUGGACAGAACUCAAGCAUCACCUUUGGGGUCACCACUGACAUCCUAAAAUCUAACUGAAAUAUUAAAAAAAAAACUGCACAUAGGUUUUCUUUUACAUGGAAAAGUAAUGCAUGGGAGAUAAAAUCAACCCACCACAAGCAAAAGGCAAUUGGAAGCAGAUGUAAUAACAAAAAAAGGACCACACAAAUGAUCCCAUCAACAAGUUCUAAAUGAGGCAUGUGAAAUUGAACUAAAAUGAUCUUUCCUGAAGCAGUCCAGUCACUUCAAUCAAUUAUUGCUCAAGAUAACUUUUGUUAUUGUUAAAUAACGAAACAGAUUGUAACCAAAAAAAAAAAGAAAAUCCCAAAACAGAUGGAAGGAUCGUGAAACUGAUUCAAGACAUGAACAUGGCUCUGCCAAAUAAGUUGGCUAGAGUAAUCACGACAGAUCCUAAAAGAAAGAAGCCUUUUUCAAGCUCAGAAAGUAAAAGUUUUUUCUUGUUCAGAACAAUGGGCAGAUCAUAAGACCUUAAAUCAUAUAUUAAAUAGUUAUCAUCAUUGACAACUAUUAAUAAAUAAUAAAAUGUGAGAAGAUUUGUGGUGUUAUAAACUCUGUAAUGAAGAUUGGUGAAUCUUUCAAUAAUUUGGUACAAGACAUUACUAAUGGCAAAGGCAUGUUUCCAAAUUACCAAAACAACUAUACUCGGAUUUCACUGUUGGAUCACAAUUUCUUUCACUCGGAAUGAUCAAAUUUGCAAUGUUGAAGCUUCUAUGGUAUCAAGUAAAACAGCAGUUGAAGAACAACUUGUUUCUUGGUGACACUCAUGACUAUAAGCUGUUUUCUCAGCUACUUCAUAUAUUAUGAGUCCAAUGGAAUAGCUCAAACAACUAAGCAAUAGUCUUGUGCAGAGUUAUGUCAUUGAAGAAAAAGAGGGAAAAAAUGAAUUAUGUGAAAUGGCUAGGUAUUCACGUAAAGUUGCAAAUUGGUCAAUUUUCAAAGGUACCAAAUAUACAGAAGAAGUUGACUAUAAGGGAGCAGAUUUUUCUUCAGUACACACUAACAACCAAAUUCAAUAUAAAAUAGGAUAAUACUUAUUGGUAAAGGAUAUUGAAUUAGACACCAGAUGAUUUUAAAGGAAAAUGGCUGAGAGUAAAAGGCAACCAGCAAUCAUCUAAGAUGUGAGAAUCACAACAUGGAACAAAGAGAACUACUUAUAAAUCUUAACUUCUUUACCAAAGUUCAACACCUGCAUCAAGAAGCAUAACGUCAAUACGAUGGGUAAAAUUUGGCGAAAGAUGGUGUACUUUCUCUCCAUUCAGCAUAUUAUACCAAAAUAUAAUACAUGAUGUAAAUUGGACCAAGGGAUCAAAUAAUGAUUGAUGAUUUCUGCAUACUGAAAGGGUUUGAGCUUUCACUUUAUUAUAUUCUGAUAGGUAAUAAGAACCUUCAAAUAUAAGUUAACCAUGACAUAUAUAUAUAUAUAUAUAUAUAUAUAUAUNNNNNNNNNNNNNNNNNNNNGACAUAUAUAUAUAUAUAUAUAUAUAUAUAUAUAUAUAAAGUUAUCAUUUGCAUGGAUAUCAGUUUUCGCCAUGGACAGAGCUCCAGCACUUAAAUCACAUUACCAUUGUCUCCCUGAUCAUGCAAAGACUGAUCAAAGACUUAAAUUCUGACGAAAGAUAUUUUAAGAAAGAUUGGGUAAUUAAUUCUUAAGUAUUCGAGUGAUGAUAAAUUAGGAAGAAUAGAAACAGAGAAGAUGCCAACAAGUCUUGUUCACAAACAAAGGACAUAUCUCCUGACGAUACUAAGAACUCGGUGAAGUAAAAAACAAUGGUAACUUUAGCGGUGGCAGAUAGAAUGAAAACUGGGCCUCCUAGUAAAGCUUUGCAGUUUUAUGUUUAACCAACCUGUGUCUGCUUUCAGUAUCAGGAGAGUGAAGCAACAAGUCAAAGGAUUGGCAAGGGUUGUGCUAACUUGAACAACUUUUUCCACUGCCAUUUCUAUGGGAAUAAAGGGAAUAUUAGAUUCUAGAAGGUAACAACAGUAUAUAAGCAAUAAUUGUCACAAGGUCCAGGUUUAUAUGCAGUUCAGCAAGUUCACAUUUUGGCAAAAGGCUUAUGGUAAAGGAAAAAUAUCUCACAUCAUAGAUAUGCUGCAAAAUCGCAAGAUAUAAGCCUGUUUGGAUGGCCAAUCAGCUCAUCUUUUUGAUAACUCCCAUGUGCAUGGGUAGGUUGAAGAGAUGAAACAGAAAGAUGAAGAAGUUGAAGAAAUCAUGGGAGCCCAUAGAUCCUGCAGUCCCAGUAUCUACUGACUGAAAAAGGUAGAAAUUGAAUGAUAUGGGGGAGAACAUUUUCAUUAUGAAGUCUCAAUAAAUCAUGGGAAAAAAUAGUUNNNNNNNNNNNNNNNNNNNNNNNNNNNNNNNAAUGGUAAAUCUAAGAAGAAACAUCAGAUGCUCCUAAAGUUUAGAAAGAUCAUAUGACUAUAGCCGUAGUCAAUGAAUCGUUCCCAUUGUAUAUGAGACAAUCAAUUAAGAAAUCCUUCUUUGACAUUUAUGCCAGAUCUUCUUAUUAUUUAAAAGCUAACCAAUGCUUUUUAUCUGUUCAACAACUAAUAAAUAAGAUUCCGUUUUAGUUAUAUGACAAGCAAAGAACUCGUUACAAGACAUUUUUGUCGUUUUCUUAAUGACAUCCUUACUCCAUAAAAGCAGCUUUUGAAUGAGAUAAUCUUGCCUUUUAUGAUGUUGAAACAAUAUAUGCAAUUUCUUCAAAAAAAAGAAGAAAUAAUAUAUGUAAGAAAUUAAUACUUCAAGAGUAGUUCAUCAAUCUUAUAAAUGCUCAGUAAUGAUGGGACACAUGAUCCCUAUGCAUGAACUUGUGAUUUAUUCAAAAGAAGAAUAACAGUUUCCACUACACAAUCUCUUCAAAUGGCAGUGGCAUGGCAGCAAGAUGUUUCAAGCAGUAGUGCUGGAACUUUCAUUGAACCAUUCUGUACAAGAUGAAUAUUUGGAAACAUGAAAACACUCAAAAGGAUCGUGUCACAAGAGAAAGGCACUUGCAUUAAGAAAUUUUACCAACACAACGCCCACAGUGCCCACAGGUGGGAGCUACCAGUUCUCCUUCACAAUCUUUGACUUCUCAAGUAUAAACUUCCCUUCUUUGUACUUCUGCGUCUCCUCGUAUGCUCUUUCAUACUUCCAACCCAACACUUCAUGACAAUCACAGCAGUAGAUAUCAGCAACCGUAUGCAAUCCUGUCAUUAGCUGCCUAUCCUCCUUCGGCCCCACAACUAUGUUCAUUGUGUGAGAAAACAGAAAUGCACGCCCAUGUCUCCCCUGAGACCAUUUUCGAAGGUGGCAGAAACACAGACCAUAUCAUUCUCUCAGAGUGCAAGCAAAAGCAAACACUACGCAAAUACGCCAAAUUAGCAAAACUUCCUUUUAUUCGAAUCCUAUAUCUUUCCUCAACUUUUUCAAUCUUGAAGUUGAACAUUUAGAGCUCAAUCAGUAGGGUUCAUUCAUUGCUCCAUUUGUAUAUCCAAUAAUUUAAACUACGCUAUCAUAUUGGAGGCAUAGUAUAUAAGAAAAGAAACAACUUGAAAAGGAAAUCCUAAUGUAACAAAAAAAACAAACAAACAAAAAAAUCCUAAAUCGCAUCACAUACAAGCAGAGUGAUGCAAGAGCUUCACCUGAAAAGCUUUCGAAAUGAUAUCAUCAUGAAGGGCGACAUUGUUCCGGCAAUUGUAACAGCUGUAUAAUCGAGGCCCAACCACUUCAGCCAUCAGCACCCUGCCCUUCUCGUCUUCAACUGCUCCAAUUAGCGGAAAAAAAAUAGAAUCACAAGCUCACACAGACAACAAGCAAUUGUAACCUCUACACUGCAUCAAAACACAAGAGAUCUGAAACCCAAUUACACCAACUUUUACCUAAAUCAAACAUCGAAGAGAAACAGAACAAUUAAACAAACCUCAAACUCUAAGAUACUUCAAUCGCUUCUUCUUCCUUCCUCCUUCCUACCGACAAAAAAAUUUGUCGCCCAUUAUCCGAUCGCUGACAACGCGUCAGACAACAAUUAUAAUCCAAAAACAAAACACAGCUCGCAUAGACCCAAAUGAUAAGGGAGACAGAGAAUAGGUUAAUUAACCACUGCAAAACUCAAUAAAAUAACAAGUAGGAGUUACAAUCCAAACAAACUACGAAUUAUUUAAGAAAACACUAAAAACUGGUCGAUACAAAGGCUAACUGGGAGGCUGGAGUUGAACAUCUGAACAUCACUCGGGCAUCAAUUAACAGAUUAAACUACGUUAAAAAAAAAAGUGAAUAACAUUGGAAACCCAUUAGGGUUAAAUAGAAAUGGAAAGCGUGAAAGGGAAUCCAUAUCAUGAUGUGGACAUGACCCAUAAAAAUAAAUUCCCCAUCAUGUCUUUAUGGGAUAAGAUGGGAUAAGUUGGAAAAACAGUUUAAAAUAAAAGAGGCUUCCGAGAUUACCAUUUAAUCAACCAUUGAACUAGCAAAAGAAUCACAGAGCCGAGAGGAAACACGAGUCGGAAAGCAUCGAUUCCUUUCUUGGAAGGAUCAAAAAAAAUACGGAAAAGGCGAACAAAUUCUUGCUACUUAAAAGAGGAGGGUAGGAAGAGGUGGAAAUUAAUUAUGUGAUGAUCUAAGCGACCAGGCGAUAUUGGCCUUGUGGGAGAGCAGAAGGCUGAGAGAGACGGGGAGAGGAGUAAGCGUAGAGGAGGGUUAGGGUUUUUUUAUUUAAAAAAAUCUUUAUUUUCUUUUUUUUUUCCUGCCAUCUUCAUCGGAAUUGCUACGUGUACCCUUGAAGCUGCCCAAGAAGUUGUAAGUUGCUACUCGGGAACUCGGUGAACCCCUGAGGGUGAAUUAGACAAUCAGGCCCUAAACAUUUUUUUUUUUAGAUUUAUUUUUUGAUAUGUGCCCCCUUAAAUAUCAAAUUUUACAUAAAUAUUCUUUCUAAAUUAAUAUUCAUAAAACGCUUAUUUUGCUAUUUCAUUUUUUUUAUUACUAUUUUUUAUAUGUACCAAUACCAUUUAAUAUUGUUAAAAUUUUAAUAAUUUUAAAUUAAAAUGACUAAAAUAUGUUUAAUGGGUAGAUGUGAAAAAAAAUAUUUACAAAGUGAUCAGGAUGGAAAAUAAAAAAUAAUUUCAAAAUUAUAUUUUAUUUUUAAUUAAAAUAAAUAUAUUUUUAUUAAUGGUAUUAAAAGAACCAUUAUAUUAAGAGCAUUUGUGUAAAAACAGUGUUUUAUGAGAGUAUAAAAAUAAAUAUUAAUUUUAAAAAAAGGUAUUCACAUAAAUUUGAAUUUUUAAAAGAAUAUUCAUACAAAAAAUUGUUUCUUUUUUUUUUUAGAGCGGAUGGCUCAUACACGCCUAUCAUGAAUGCACCUAAAAAAGUUAAAAAAUAAUAAAUUUUGGAGUAUUUUAGACAGCUUUCUUUUUCUAACCUACAAAGCUAACAUGAUCAGCCAUAUAUAAAGCCAUCAGGCCCUAACACCCGUGUGAGACAUCGAGGGCAAAUUAGGCAACGUGGAAGCUGAGCUCCUUUGUUUCGUAUUGGUAGAUGAGGGAGGAUAAGCCAUUAUGCCCCACUUGUAAUGUUGUGAACCUUUUUUUAAGGAUUUUGAGGACGUAUGAUGCUUUGCGAUUAAUUUCUUACUUCGGACUUCUGAUCGUAUCUAGUUCGUCAUGUUUUCCAUCCCAUUCGAAGCCGAGAUAAUUAAUAGAAAGAUAAGCAUUGACGAGGCAAGGGAUAUGAGCAAAUAUAUGACUUGUUGAAUGUAACGAAUUGUGGAAACGGGCUGGGCUUAAGACUUGGGCUUUUUGGGCUUGGUUGGGCCAGUUUGGGCUAAAAUUGAGUUCGGUGUUAUAAGCCCUGCUUUCAAAAUAAUGGCUCUGGACUUGUUUGUUUUAUGAUUGACUGGACUUGAAAUAUUCGAUUAUCCUGGCUUAUUGUUGCUCAAGAGUCCGGCUAAACCAGAUGGUUCUCUUUUUCUUUAUUUUGAGACAAUGAGAUGGUUCUCCCCAUUCCAUGUAACAAAUUAAUUGGCCUUGAUUAUAUUAUAUCAUACCAAAAUCUUUCUCUAUGAAUAAAAUAUAAUGUAUUAUCAAAAAAAAAAUACUUCAAUUCCUUGUAACAUGUUAAAUAUGUUAUGAUUUUAAUUUCUCUCUGCGCUUCAUGGCCCAUUUCUCUAAUAACUUAUUGUUAUCUUAAUAGUUCAACCAAUUUAUUUAUUUAUUUAUUUUAUAUUAGAAUAUGCAUUUCUGUCUCCCUCUCAUGUCUUGCUAUGGUAUUUAUUUAUUUUAUUUUACUCGAUUUGAAGGAUGAAUCUCGAACUUUGAUGAAAGGGGAGUUAUUGGAAGUUGCAAAGUAGUCGGGUUUACGAGUUACACCCAAUUCUCUUUUUAUUUAUUUAUUUUAAUAAAAAUGCAUGAAGCCCUUUUUCCCUCUGCCUCUGCCCAUGGCUUUCUCGUUUGUACUCAUUUUAUUCAAAUUAUUAUAUUAAAAUUACUUAUCGGAAUUUAGGAUUAGUGGGUAGUUACAGAAAAUUGUUUUUGUAUUUCUUAUGCAUGGAUGGCUACCGAGAGGUAGCUAUUUUAUAAGCUAUAUAUAUAUAUAUAUGUCAAUGAGUAUGUUUUGAAGGUAACGAGACUUUUAGGUGUAAAAAUGUUAUUCUUUUGGAAAACUAGACUAUAGUUUAGAUAUUUUUGCAGAAUUUGGCUAAAAAUUCUAUAAAAAUAUCUAUUGGCUUAUUUAACUUACAUUUUUGAAAAACCUAUCUAAAUCCAAUCAAAAUUCUAGCCAUAGAUUUUAUUUUCCACAGAAAUUGGACCAAUAGAAUUUAUAUAGGGUCAUACUUAAAUGGAUGGCUUAAUCUACGAAUUCUUCAGAAUUUUUAGCCUAAUCUCAUAAAAAUAUCGAAACAAGCCUUUAAGAGAAACAAUCGUGCUCAAAAAAAAAAAAUCUUAGGAAAGUUAGUUUCUCUUAAAAGUAAAACAUUUUUUGAUCUCUUAAGGAGGAUCAAUCCCCCUCAAAGAGGAUUUCAAUAGUUAAACCUUAACUUUUUAUUUUAUUUAUCAAUAUUUUUCUAAUUGAAUUCUAAAGUCAAACCUCAAGAAUAUUUUAACUAUAUACAGCUCUAUCAAGAAAUAAUAAGAUAAAAAGUUAAGAAUAAUCAAAAACUUUAAAAGAGUUUAACUACUUGCAUGGAACGCAACUAGCUUGAAUUUAAUUGCGACUAUGUUGCAAUCAAUGCUACAAACAUUUUACAUCUACUUGGGGGCUAUUGCCGGGGUUGACAUAAUGGUGUUAUUGCUAUUAAUUGGUCGUAUACGAUAAUCAAUUUGACUUCACAUCCAGCUCAGGACAACCUAAUCAAAUAAAAUCAUCUUUGGAACCUAUCUUUGAACCCCAUUCCAUAAUAAAAUUAUCUUCACAUUGCUUUCCUAAGAUCAUAAUUAGGCAAACAAGCAAACACCAAUUCAUGCACUUAAUAUCCAUCCAGUUACACAACAGACACGUGGAAAAGCAUAAGAUGCAUCAUUACAUAACAAGCUCCAGCCCUUCAGCAUCACCUUUCCCACGCUCGGUCCACACUUCUGAUGCUUUUUUGAAGCUGAAGCCUUGUGGUAACCACCGGUGGUCCAGAGAAACCCGACCCCAGCCAGCAAUCUCCCGUCAUUUCUUGCGCGCAGCAAACCAAAGACAUCGGAAAGUCACCGUCAGCACCCAUCACCACACAAUUUCCACCCCACCAUAAACAAAAUCAUUCAUUCAAUCAAUCCUGCCAAAUCCAAUGGCAAUUUGUUGUCGGAUUCGGCCCCGGAAGGAGUGGUUCCGGUCCCAUACCUAUCUGACCGGCGGGUCGUCCGAUAUAAUGCUUGACCAUUAGAUUACUAUUGGGAUCCAUACUUAGCAUGGGCUCUGAUAUCGCGUUUGCACGCCAGAAAUCAAAUAUCAUGAAUCAAUGCGUUGAUAAUAUAAUAAUUAGGGUUUUUAUAUGAGCAUCCUCCUCAAUAUCAAAUUCGAUAUAAAUAUUUUUUUAAAAUUAAUAUUUGUAUACAUAUCUUCGUAAAAAAUUUAUUUUGUUAUUUUAUUUUUUGAUAUUUAUUUUUGCAUAUAUAUCGAUCUCAUGAUGUUAAAAAAAUAAUGGUUUCAAAUUAAAAUGAGUAAAAUAUUCUUAAUGAAUAGAUAUACAAAAAAAAAUUAUUUAUGAGACGGUUGCAAUAGAAAACAAAAAAAUAAUUUUGAUUUUUUUAAUUUUAGUUAAAAUAAAUAUUAUUUUUAUUAAUGGUGUUAGAAGUGCAUUUGUAAAAAAUAAUAUUUUUAUAAAAAUAAAUAAAUAAAUAUAAAUUUUAAGAAAGUAUUUUUAUAAAUAUAAUUUUUUAGGAGGAUAUUUCUUAAAAAAAAGAGGAAAAAAAAAAAACUUAACAAGGAGCACAUAGAAGCUUCGCGCGCGGUGUCGGCUUUUGCCCUUGGCUGCUACGUCCUCCCGGGUAACAGAAACGCACCGGACGCGGAGCUGAAACGGCCUCGACCGCGAGAAGCUUCCACGAAACCUCCCUCCAAGAAUCGUCCCAAGUCCCCACUAGCCGAGCGCCCCUUGACGCGGUCGUCACGUCCGGCUUCAUCGGUUCCUCCUUCGUAGAAGCUGUUAAAAAGAAAAUUAUUUUUUUAAUGAUUUUAAGAAGUACGAUGCUAUUAAAAAGGAGAGACGGCUUCUCCUUGUGGCUCGCAAAGAAGAAAGCAAGAAAAGAAAAAACAAAACGAGAGAGUGAUGGCGGAGGAAGGGGAUCCGAAGGCGGCGGGGGAGAUGGAGUACGAAGACUUGAUGCCGACGAUGGCGGAGAAGCUGGAGGCGGAGGAGUUCGUGAGGGAGCUGUGCGGGGGGUUCAGGCUGCUGGCGGACCCGGGGAGGGGGCUGAUAACGGCGGAGAGCCUGCGGCGGAACGCGGCGGCGCUGGGGAUGGCGGGGAUGACGGCGGAGGACGCGGCGGCGAUGGUGAGGGAGGGGGAUCUCGAUGGCGACGGGGCGCUCAACGAGACGGAGUUCUGCAUCCUGAUGGUGCGGCUGAGCCCCGGGAUGAUGGAGGACGCCGAGGCCUGGCUCGAGAAGGCGAUCGCCAGGGAGCUCGUCAGACCCUCCUCUUCGGCCUAAUUUUAUUUUGUUUAAAUUUAAUUGUGGAACGAGGUAGAAGAUGAAGAAAAUAGAUUCGAUAGUUUUAUUACAUGGCUAAUUGAGUCCUUCUGUACUUCUGUAUGUUUGGAUUUGAGAUGUAUUUGGUGGUUUAGUGGAUAGAGUAAUUUUUUCCAAACACUAGCUUUCAUUUUUUUGCACUUUUUUUUAACAAGAGAUCUCUGAAUGCCCCAUCUUGGAUUUUGCCUUGUCCUCUCUUUUUCUCACAAAUCUUGGUUAAAAUUGUCGGAUAAUUUAUGUUGGAUUCAGAAUAUUUGCUUCAGCUUUGCAGCAUUCAUGAUCAGAACAUAUUUAUAUUGGCAAAGUUCCUGCGAGUUAUUACUAGUGGCGUAUUCUUGCGUAUUGCCUGAUGCUAGUUGCACAUAACUUCUUCCUUUUGGCAAAACAAAAAAAUUCUUCUUCAACAGCUUUGAUAGUUUUGCAAUGGAAGCCUAACGUUCCACCACCUUGGCACCAAAAGGCAAAAGCAUUAGAUGGGAGUAGAUUCAUGCAUCAUUCAUGGCUCGAGCCAAGUGCACAAAUAUCCAAAAACCAGCUCUUUCGAGCCCAUAUUAUGGUUUCCACUGCCAUGAGUUCUGCCUCCAUGGGUCCUGCAUCCCUCAAUGAAAUGAGACAUGGCCUGCAUUACUUGACCAGCCAGGUCGACGCUGCUUUCGAUAUAAUGGAGAUAGCACUUGAAGUAACAAUGGCAAAGAAUCUCUUUGAAACAAGGAUAUGGUUUUCUUUCGGAAAUAAGAAAAAGUUAUACGGAAUAGUUUAGCUUCUAUCAGUUUCAGCGGGUGCAACUCUUAAUUUUUCUCUUGCGGAGAGCAUGCUAUUAUUCUAUAUAUAUUUUUUUUUUCAAUGCGUUUGGAAGAAAACCGGGGAUAGUUUAAGUGGAGGAAAAAAGCAACGUUUCAAUAAUAUUAUAUAAUACAUUAUAUAUUACAAAGUUAUAUAUUAUAUCAUAUGUAAUACCAUAUUAUGAUAUUAAUAUUAUUUUGUAUAACUACAUUGUAUUUAAUAUUGUACUGCAAUAUUAUAUUAUUUAACAUUCAUCGAUAUUAAUGUUAUAUCAAUAUUAUAGGAGGGCUAAAUUGGACUUUCGAUCUCAUAAUAGCAAGGACAAUGGAGGAGCUGUAAACAUAAUUAAACUUGGUUUAAGCUUAUACGGGAUAAAGCAGGGAUAAAUCCCCUUUAUCGAUCCUAACAUCGAAAACAACCUAUAAUUGAUUAAUAAUUCAUGAUCAAUGUUGGAUAAUUGGCUUCGAUUAAGUGGUCAUCUUGACUUCUAAAUAUUCUUCAUGGCCUCGCCUACAGGUUUGAUAUAAAAACAAAAUUAGUAGAGGAAGUCCAACUGCAAAACUAGUCCAUGCAUGCUUUAGAAACAAUCACGACCUAAUAUAGAAAAUGGCAAUGAAUCAUUUACAAUUAGAAUUUGGAUGACUUUUUUGAGGUUGCCUUCUCUGACUAGUAGAGGUGGAAAAGGUUGGUCCAUCGAAUUAAUUUGUUUGGAUUAAGAUAAGAAUUUUAGGCUGGCCUCUUGAAGGUCGUCAUUUGCUAAACCAAACUUGACCUAUUUCCACCUCUUUUCUAAGGGAAAAAUAUCUCAGAAAGAGACACGAGGAAGCAUCCAUUUGCAUCUCGGAGAUGUAUGACAAACUUUACUGUUACAGUCCUGAAAGAAGAAAUACAUAUAGAUGGGACCACAAAUGAAAUAGUUUAUCAUCAUUUACCUCAGUCGAAGUUAAUUAAUCUUGUUCAUCAUGAAAUAACCUAUGGUAAAUGAGAAUAUAUAGAGGUUAUUAUGGUUUCUUUAAGCAAGGUGAUGGACCAGAAAGAAAAAUAAAACCAAUAGAUUGCCAUGCUUUCUUGUGCAAGUUUCUAUAUGCAUCCGUCCCUUCAAAAAGUCAUUCAAUUGUUCUCGAAUUGGUCUAUACGAUGACUCGAAAUAUAACAAUGUGACAAAAGAAUCAGAUCCCAUAAUCCAAAGUAGGGAUUUGCUGGGUCCCUUAGGGACUAUUGUCCCUAAAAUAACCUGCCUGCUCAUGAACUUUAUGUGGAUCUAACUAAUUAUGGCCAUCACCAAUAUAGGUGCAACAUUGCCAGGCAUACAUGAGAGACAUCAUUGGAGAAAAAUAUAUUUGCUUCCCCACUUGAGCUGCAGCUUAAAGAUAUAUAAGCCUACGUAUUUGUGGGUCUUAUGCAAAAAUUGAGAGGAUCUAUAGCUGCAAAGCAAAUUGCAAAGGCACCGUUUAUGCCCACUGCAUGGUAAAAUCUUUUAUUUUCACUAUCAGGACCUGAUUGGAUGGAUACAUGCCAGACUUUGAUUAAUUAUGAUGCCAACAAGCUAUUUCAUUAUUGCAUGCAGAAUUGAUAGAUUGCCAUGUAGCGCAUGAGGACCGAACCGAAGGGAAGGUUUCCACUGCUCAGCUAAACCAAUUGCAGCAACAGAUGAGAUCAACGUCUACAACAAAAGUUCAUCUUCAAACAUCCAUCAGUGAAUAACAAGAAGGCUUGCCUUGGCACACAUUUACAGUAGUAGUCUAGGAGGCUUGCCAUCAUUAAUUAGAUAGACGAACCAAGGCUCCAUCCAAACGAUCGACGAUAUUGUCCUGUAAUGAUUUAAUUUUGCAAAUGGCUUCGGCAUAACAGUUCUUCCUCUCUAUCUUUAUCUCUGAAAUUACAUGUGGGACAGGUUGGUAUGCGAGUUGUCCCUCUAUCUUGAUCGAAGGCAUGCAUUUUGUUUAGAGGUAGCAGACGUAUGCCCUUAAUGAUUUAGAAGAAAAGUUAAUAACUAGCUCCUUGAAUUUUUAAGAAGACGUCAUAAUAAUCAAGUGCAAUAUAGGGGCCACUGGGAGCGGUUGGAGGAGCAGCAUGUAGCAUGAUGGUGCUACUGCACGCCAUGCUGAUGCCUAAACCUCAACCUUAGAUUUUUUUUUUUUUACUUCAAGGCAUACAAACGAGUCUCCAAUGUAAAACAAUAGAGAAUGAUAUAUAGUACUGCCAUUUACUAACAUCAUGAGAUUAACCUGCGUAAAUCUUUGAAAAAUUUGUCAGCAAAUUUUGAAGGUCAGGGUUGUAUCUUUAACACAAACAAAGGAUUCAGCUGAUCCAGGUCGCUUUGAGAUUUGUGCAGGCAGAUCAAUGAUAAAGUUUGGAGUACUUUGAGAUCUGUAUGGUGGUGGGUGAUCCAAUGAUGGACCAUCGACUUAGUGAUCUGUUCUUCUAAUUGAACUAUGACUAUGAAAUUCCCUUUCAGAAAUCAAAGUGCGCUUCUGAAUUAGGAAGUAGAUUGUCUUGGGGUCAGGCUGACCUUCCACCUGUCGAGUCUUGACCUGUUUUUUUUAAACUUAAGCGGUUAACAUAAGAUUUGCAAAUGCUCCAUUUAUGUCCCAAAAAAAUGAGAUUGAGCUAGCUUUUUCAUAAGACGAGCCCAAACAGUUCACGCACAACUUGCUCAAUUAAUUAAUACCAAAACUUCGAUCAUCCACAAAGAGAAAACUAAGAGGGUUUCGGCUCACAAACAAAUUUAUUCUUCAAGAACACCAUAUAUUCUCACAAACUCAUACAACGGUAAAAGCAUAUAUCAAACGGAAGCUGUUAACAAUAACCCUUCAACAAUUUAAACUCAGAACAUAUAUCUGCAGGCGUGCGCUCUCUCUCUCUCUCUCUCUCUCUCUCUCUUUCUCUUAUUUUCCGCUGCCAUCCCUUCCAACCCCAGAGCCAACCCUCAUCUUAUGCUUACGGCGUUUGAUGUAAUCCUCCACCCUCUCAUUAAUGUUCUUCUUUGAUCUUUCUGUCGCUGCCGCCGCACCCGCCGGAGGGGCUGGCUGCGGCAGUGGUUGUGGUGUCGCCACUGCCUUUGGUGGCAUUGGUUGCGGUAUCGUCACCGCCUUUGGGGGUGCCGCGCUCGGUGGCACCACCUUGUCGGGAACCCUCCGAACUGGGACUGAUGUAGUUGGCGGCGACGGCGGCGGCGGUGCCGCUGGCGUUGGCAGUGGGUGGUGCGGUUCGGCCUUGGGUGCAACGGUCUCAGCCGGUUUCUUCUCAGAUGUAGGUGGUAUGAGUUUCGCUGAAGUAGGCAGUGCCUUUUGAGGACCAGGAUCUUUCGUGCCGGAGUCCAGAGAGUGAUUUGGCCGAGUCGAUGAAGGAUUGGUGGUGCCUUCAGGUUCCUGAUGGCGGAAAGUGAGGCGGCGAAGUGGGCGGAAAGCGGGGUUGAAGGCGUUGAAGAGCUUCUCACACAUGCCUAAGGGGCGAGAGGUUGUUGAUACCUUCUUCUUCUCCAUCUGGUGUAGAAGAGAGGGUUGGAUUUUGUUACGAAGAUUGGAAGGGGAGAAGGGAAGAGUCUUUAAUAUGGGACGGGGAUCGUCAGGAUUAAUGGCUGCAAUCUUGCAUGAAUUGCUAGUGUGAAUGCUAGUUGAGAGUUUGCGUGAAGUCAAGUUGACGGGAAAUGCUUUGCUUUGCUUUGCUUUGCUUUGCUUUGCCAGAUGCCCAAAGGCCACAAAAGGGAGAUCUUUUUCCUUAAACUUUUGUUUGGGAUCAUAUUCUUCGUUGGAAACGGGCCAUCGUUUCGUUGUUAGACUAAAUGCCAUAGAAUAGUGGAUUAGAUUGUUCAUUUGGAAAAGCAGAAAAGUGGUGAUCGAAUUUAGAGGCAAUGGUUUUCGUGUAAUUUGUAGAAUUCAGAAUAACGGGAAAUAAUUAAUGGUGAUUUCUAUUCGGAAUCUGUAUAUGUAUCACCGAGUGAGAAGGGAAAAGAAAAUUAAUGGAAGGGAGAAUAAUUCUCUACUUUCUUUUUAGAACAACUAGCUGGAGAGCACGCAGGCGGCAAUAUUUGUUAAAAAAGUAGAGACAGGAAAUAACGAGGUGGGUGCGAACAACUGGAGCGAAUCGCACCACCAUUCGUAAGACUACGUACCAGAGGAAGACUGCAUGGCUGCAGACUGCACUAAUGGCCUACCACCACCCAGAAGGUAUCCUGUCUUGCUCCCGGUUCACACGAAUCCUUGUUGAUAAUGUCCGAUCCGAUCUGACCAUGAGCAACAACAUCAGGAUGAAAAGAUCGUUUGGAAGAUUUUGCUGGAUGUCAUAUGUCAGAUUGUCAGGAAACAUUGGACUUGGAUCCAUAUGUGUUUCUAUUAGACCGGAUUGCAACAGGGGACUCCUUUUGGGUGACGUGGAAGAAAGGUUGUGCUUUGCCUAAGACAAAGCUAAAGAGCUAUGGACAAGGGGCGCACCGGUAGUAUGGGUAGCUGCCAACCAUUGCUCUGAUAUACUCAAACCAUAGUAGGUGGAGACGUUGCCUUCUAGGCCAUAUAUGUCUACAGAGAGGCCAAUGGAGCUGCAAAUUGGGUGACCUCGCAUAUGGCUAACCAUUCUGGGUUGGUGAGAAGGAGUUGUCUAGAACGUUUUAAGACUUAUUAUUUUUUUGAUUUUUUUGGAUGUAUUCACACUAGAAGUGUAUGAAUCAUCCGUUAUAGAAAAAAAAUCUAUGGAAAGCACUAGUGACUUAUCAUGGGGAAGAAUUAAUUAAGUACUUGCCAUUGGAUCACGAUCGAAGAGUUCUUAUUUUGUUGGUUUUAGCUUCAGGCAUGCUUGCACCUUAAAAAAUGCAUGAAAUGAUUAAGAAAUUGUAGUUUUAAGUUGGAUUAUUGAACUAUUAUGCAACUGGCCUUCUGGCUUAUUUGUGCUUUAGGAAUGAAGAAACUCCCUUUAUCCAAAAUUAUCAUCUUCCUCCUUUGUAUAUACUUUUUCCAAGUGUAGUGGACUUUCGAGGAUAGAGCUUAAAUUACAACGACAAGAAAGAUCUCCUACUUUCCAACCCUCUCUCUUGCUCAAAUCUGUCUUGGACAAGGAUUUAGCGUCAAUUUAUAGGGGGUUGGCAAUAAAAGCUAUUUGGUGCUUAAUUUAAUGGAACUUUUUCAACUUGGAGUCGCGACUAAUUAUAGUCAACCUUAUAUUCAUGGGAAAAGGCUUGGAAGAUUAUAUUUGUAGUGAAGAUUUUUUAGAUCUUAAAAGUACCUAAACGAAUUAUCAAAUUUUUUAAAGUUUUUAAGUUCAAAUUUCUCAUAGAGAUUUUGUUCUUUGUUGGUGCUGUUGGGUUUCUGCAUUAAAAUGCAUUAUAUAUAUAUAAAGAUAUAUAAUAAGAUCCCCUAGACAUAAAGCCACCGCCCUCCCCUCCUCUUUGGAGAAAGGAAAAAAAACCCUACCAUCUAUAUGAUUUAUCUUAACAUCUAAACCAACUAAGACUAUCACAUCCAUACUCUUCUUAGUUGUAUAAGAAAUUUCAUAUAGAAAUUACAAACCACUUUCAACCUCUAAGUGUGUCCAUAGAUUCACUACAGGAAAACCAACCUAUCCCGACGCAUUUUGCGACCUUUCACGACNNNNNNNNNNNNNNNNNNNNNNNNNNNNNNNNNNNNNNNNNNNNNNNNNNNNNNNNNNNNNNNNNNNNNNNNNNNNNNNNNNNNNNNNNNNNNNNNNNNNNNNNNNNNNNNNNNNNNNNNNNNNNNNNNNNNNNNNNNNNNNNNNNNNNNNNNNNNNNNNNNNNNNNNNNNNNNNNNNNNNNNNNNNNNNNNNNNNNNNNNNNNNNNNNNNNNNNNNNNNNNNNNNNNNNNNNNNNNNNNNNNNNNNNNNNNNNNNNNNNNNNNNNNNNNNNNNNNNNNNNNNNNNNNNNNNNNNNNNNNNNNNNNNNNNNNNNNNNNNNNNNNNNNNNNNNNNNNNNNNNNNNNNNNNNNNNNNNNNNNNNNNNNNNNNNNNNNNNNNNNNNNNNNNNNNNNNNNNNNNNNNNNNNNNNNNNNNNNNNNNNNNNNNNNNNNNNNNNNNNNNNNNNNNNNNNNNNNNNNNNNNNNNNNNNNNNNNNNNNNNNNNNNNNNNNNNNNNNNNNNNNNNNNNNNNNNNNNNNNNNNNNNNNNNNNNNNNNNNNNNNNNNNNNNNNNNNNNNNNNNNNNNNNNNNNNNNNNNNNNNNNNNNNNNNNNNNNNNNNNNNNNNNNNNNNNNNNNNNNNNNNNNNNNNNNNNNNNNNNNNNNNNNNNNNNNNNNNNNNNNNNNNNNNNNNNNNNNNNNNNNNNNNNNNNNNNNNNNNNNNNNNNNNNNNNNNNNNNNNNNNNNNNNNNNNNNNNNNNNNNNNNNNNNNNNNNNNNNNNNNNNNNNNNNNNNNNNNNNNNNNAUGGAGCAGCCAGAAGGUUUUGUAGUUUCUGGUCAAGAGAAUAAAGUGUGUAAGCUAGUCAUAUCCUUAUAUGGAUUAAAACAAGCUCCUAGACAGUGGCAUGAAAAGUUUGACCAAGUCAUUUUAUCAUAUGGCUUUAAUAUUUGUGACUUCGAUAAAUGUGUAUAUUGGAAAAUAUUUGAUAGGUCUAUUAUUAUCCUAUGUUUAUACGUAGAUGACAUUUUAAUUUUUGGUAGUGAACAUGUCACAAUUUUUGAAGUGAAGAAAUACUUAAGUGAUAAUUUUGACAUGAAAGAUCUAGGAUUAGCUAAAGUAAUCUUAGGAAUCAAAAUUAGAAGGACACAAAAUGAGAUUGUUCUAAGUCAAUCUCACUAUGUUGAAAAGGUGUUAAAGAAAUUUGGGUACGAAAAUUACAAGCCAGUUAGCACCCCAUAUGAUCCUAGCAUAAAAUUAAAGAAAAAUGGUGGGGAUAGUGUUUCCCAAUUAAAGUAUUCUCAAUUAAUUGGAAGUCUUAUGUAUUUAUCUAACUGUACAAGACCAGAUAUCUCCUAUGUUGUAGGCAGACUAAGUAGAUACACUAGUAAUCCCGAUAAAACACAUUGGAAUGCAAUAGAAAGGCUUCUUAAAUAUUUGAAGGGUACCAUUAACUACGGGAUAUACUAUUCUGGUUUUCCUACUGUACUAGAAGGGUAUAGUGAUGCUAACUGGAUUUCUGAUUCCGAAGAUACAAAGGCCACUAGUGGAUUUGUCUUUACACUAGGUGGUGGUGCAGUCGCUUGGAAAUCUUCCAAGCAGACCUUGAUUACUAGAUCCACCAUGGAGGCUGAGAUGGUAGCCUUAGAGUUAGCUGGUGGAGAAGCAGAUUGGCUUAGGGGUCUGUUAUCAGAUAUUCCCAUGAUGGAUAAGCCUAUUCCUGCUAUUUNNNNNNNNNNNNNNNNNNNNNNNNNNNNNNNNNNNNNNNNNNNNNNNNNNNNNNNNNNNNNNNNNNNNNNNNNNNNNNNNNNNNNNNNNNNNNNNNNNNNNNNNNNNNNNNNNNNNNNNNNNNNNNNNNNNNNNNNNNNNNNNNNNNNNNNNNNNNNNNNNNNNNNNNNNNNNNNNNNNNNNNNNNNNNNNNNNNNNNNNNNNNNNNNNNNNNNNNNNNNNNNNNNNNNNNNNNNNNNNNNNNNNNNNNNNNNNNNNNNNNNNNNNNNNNNNNNNNNNNNNNNNNNNNNNNNNNNNNNNNNNNNNNNNNNNNNNNNNNNNNNNUCAUCUAUAGAUUUCUUACUCAUGUAUCAUUGUCCCAGUAAGAGUUUGUAAGGAUUGGAAGAAAGGAAAAUUUUUAAAAGGGAAAAAGGAAGAGAAAGAAAAAUUUCUGAACUUGGGUCGACUCAACCCAGAAUAGGGUCGAUCCAACGUUGAGUCGACCCAAGAAAAAUCUAGGGUCGACCCAACGACGGGACCCCACUGUUAAAAGGGGGACCCGUGAGCCAUCUAGGGUACUGUUUUCACUUUGUCCUCUUCCGAAAACCCUAUUUCCCACUCUCAAAUCUCCUCCAAUCAUCUCCAAAUAGUAGAUUACAUCAAGAUCUUGAAGAAAUGGGACCCAAGAGAGCCGUAGCCAAGCGAUCCGGGAGAGUUUCACGGAUCACCCGUGCGGAUAGGGCUGCUACAGAGCCGUCUACAGUGUCUCUGAUGAGAGCAUAAAAGUGCGACCUACAUGUCACCUAAAUUAGUAUUAUUGCUAACCGAUAAUGAUAAAUUCACUGGAUCAAUAUUAUAUAUGGGUUUGACACAGAUUUUCAUAAAUUGGGAAUAAAAUGCACAUUGAAUACAAAUUUGACUUAAGAAGGNNNNNNNNNNNNNNNNNNNNNNNNNNNNNNNNNNNNNNNNNNNNNNNNNNNNNNNNNNNNNNNNNNNNNNNNNNNNNNNNNNNNNNNNNNNNNNNNNNNNNNNNNNNNNNNNNNNNNNNNNNNNNNNNNNNNNNNNNNNNNNNNNNNNNNNNNNNNNNNNNNNNNNNNNNNNNNNNNNNNNNNNNNNNNNNNNNNNNNNNNNNNNNNNNNNNNNNNNNNNNNNNNNNNNNNNNNNNNNNNNNNNNNNNNNNNNNNNNNNNNNNNNNNNNNNNNNNNNNNNNNNNNNNNNNNNNAUGCCCUUAAUAAAAAUUAGGUCUUUAAUGCCUCUUUAAUGCUUCUUUAAUGCUGAAGGGUCUUUUUGGAAAAAAAUAAAAAAGGAGUGAUUCCCACCUCAUGGGAAAGUAACUUUCCCAUGUUUCUCAUGGGAAAGUGUUUCUCAUGGGAAAGACUUUCCCAUGAAAUGUGGGAAUCAUAUUCCCAUGGGAAUACAACUUUCCCAUCUCUCUCCUUUGAAAACUCCAACCAAACAAGAGGCAUUUCAUUACUUUUCCGUUGACCACACUUUCCCCCCUCCUUUUCCUGCGAACCAAACGAGCCCUACAUGAUGAGCAUAAUAACAUUCAUCUUCUAUAUAUAUAAUGGUAAUGCUCGUCGAUGUGACACCAUCACUCAAUAUGUAUCUAUUUAUUUAUUUAUUUUUUUAUAUCCCAAAUUAACCCUUUUUCUCCAACACUUGUUGAAGGCUCCGUCGUUAUCUAGAAUAGCGUCUUCUUCUGGUCCAGUUUGCUUGUGUGCUUGCGUGUUUCUAUUGUGCGGUUGGAAUAUGAACAAAAACCGUAUGGGGCAGGUAGGAGAAAAUAUGAAACAGACUUCUUAUUUUAUCAUGUUUUUCUUAAGGUUCAUUUUAAAGAAAAAAUUCAAAAAUUAAAGACUCCUCCCACUAAUGAAGUCAUCAAUCCUAUAAUUAAAACAAAAAAGUAAAUUACAUAAAUCUCCUGAGGUUUAUAUUUGUUAUAUUUACAUCCAGUAGUUUGUAAAACAUCUACUUAAUCUCAGUUAAAAGUCAAAAUUGUCUCUGACUGAGGAGGAGAAUAUAUACGUUUUUUUAAUGUCCUUGGGUGACUGUUACGUCACAUAAGGUUAUUUUGGUUAUUUUCAUAAUUUUUUUGACGUAGCAUUUGGGUCUCAUAAAGUUAACAGUUUGACUAAUGUUCUAUUACGUUAUGGGUUAAAGUAUUAAAUAAAAAUAAAUCUCAGGAGGAUAAGCGUAGGUUUUUCACACUAUUGAGUGUAAUGUAACUUACCCCAUAUCUCAUGAAGAUUCUUGUAAAUUACUCUUGAAAAAAAAGAAAAUGACAUAUGGCAUCCUCUUUCUUUCUCAUUUCCAAAACAUGCUUUUUACCGGUAUAUACUAUAUGGCCAAGUAAUACACACCAAUCAAAUUAAUUAUUUAGCAAGCCAUUACAUUUAUCUAGAGAUAUAUAUAGUUUUCAGAACAUGGUGUUCACCAAUACGCAAUAUACGGCGAGCUGAUACACUUAGCAAAUUAGUCAUCUAGCAACCUAAUACACACUUCUAAAAAAAUUAAUAUACAAUUUUCAGAACAGCAUGUUCACUAAUACGGACUACUUGGCUUGGUGAUACAUACUUAUUAACUUUCUGAUAUAUGCUGCAAGUUUUUUUACUAGAUAUCCAGCAGUGAUCCAAUACAUACGCCCAGAUAAAUUGAAAUACAGUUUCGAGAACAUAUUUUUUACCAAUAUGUACUAUAUAGCUAGAUGAUACACAUCAAGCAAAAAAGUCAUCUAGUAAACCAAUACAUACCUCUAAGUAAUCGAUAUAUAGUUUUCAGAAUAUAGUAUUCAUCCAUACCAGUACACAAGUUUUUACCUUUUUCUAACACAAGAAUUUUAUAUAUAUAUAUAUUUUUAGAUCUAUGAACUUAUAGGUGCAAAGAUUCUUGAAAAGAGAGAGGGGUUUGGAAACGAAUAAAGGAACUCGAGAGGAGAAGAAAAAUAUUACAGAUGGAAGAGACAGCUUGAUGAGGAAGAGGAUAUAUAGAGAGACUUGAUGAGGAAGAAAGAGGAUGCGAACAAUCUUUCUUCAUGAAUAAUGCUUUUAGCUCAUGUAAUUUUUUUAUUUAUUUUUUUUAAGUUAUAAGACUAAUGAACUCUGUUAGUAGGGAGUUAUUUGAUUUUUGGAUUUCCUCUUUAAGAUAGGUGUCAGAGGAAACAUAGCAAAAUAGAACUCCCAUCUCACAUGAUAUUUUAUAGUCCCUGCCCCAUAUAUUUUUUCUUCCAAAAAAAUGAAGUCCCAGUUCUUCCCUUACCAAUGCCACGGUUCAACUUUAGGCUGAUGUAGUGGCAACCAAACAUAUUCCUUCUGUAGAAAACUAUGUAUAUCUUCUGCGGAUGCUUUGAUAUCUAUGCAAACGGAUGAAUAUCUGGAUCAUCUGCGGUUGCUUUGAGAUCUAUACAGGCGGAUGAAAAUAUGGAUCAUUCGUCAUUUCUUUAACAUCUAUGCAGGCAAAUCAAUAACUAGAUCAUCCAUGGUUGCUUUGAGAUCUGUGCAGAUGGAUAUAUAUUUGGAUCAUCCAUGGUUACUUUGAGAUCUGUGCAUGUGGAUGAAUAAUCCUGAUCAUCUACUUAUUACUUUGAGAUCUAUGCAAGGGGAUGAAUAAUCUUGAUCAUCUAUGUGGUUGCUUUAAGAUUUUGUAUAUAGUGAUUAAUAAUCUAAAUCAUCCACUAGUCACUUUAAGGUAUAUGCAGGUGGAUGGUUGAUCCUGAUCAUUAACUAAUUGCUUUAAGAUCUCUACAAGUGGAUCAAUAAAGUUUGGAACACUUUGAGAUCUAUGCAAUGGAUGAUCCAAAUAUUCUUUCUACUGCUUAGAUCUCAAAGCAAUCAAUGGAUGUAUCAGAUUAUUCAUCAAUUUGGACAAAUCUUAAAGCAAUCCAAAUAAUCAUCCGCUUGCAUAGAUCUCAAAGGGACCAUAUAGAUGAUCUAGAUUAUUCAUCAAUCUCCACAAAUCUUAAAGCUAGAAUAGGCUAAAAGAAGAAGAGGGUAUUUUUGUUAACUACAAUAUCACCUGCUAGCCGGGACGUCGAAGGACUGAUUUGGGAAAAGAGUAUCUAAUAAACUUGAGAGAUCCAAGUCGAACUUUUGAAAAUUGAGAGGUAUCUUUGAGAUUUGCCCAAGGAUGAGAGAAUGUUCCUGUAAUUUUUCUAGUAUGUUUACAACUUACAUAUAAGCUCUCUAAUAAACUUAGAAUCCUCAUUGGAUUGUCCAGCACCAUUUGUUGGAUAUAUAUUAUUUUUCCUCAAAAAUAAAUUUAAUGAGCAAAAUGGUAAUAUGCGAUGUAAACAGUAAGUUGACGCCGUUUUCCUCAUCGCAAUAUGAAAAAUCAUUUCGAGAAAAAAAAAGGUAUCCUUUCACAUCAAUGUACUUUUUUUUGUGUGUAUUGUAUUAUCCCCAAUUUAUAGCUAUAUCCUCUAUCUAGCAUAAAUAUUCCAAUAGGCAUCACCUUGGCCCAAAUAAUAACCAUGGCGUAGACAACGACGUCCGCCACAUCGCACUACCUCAAAAACUUCUUACAAAAUGAUACAACGGCAAUGACGUUGGCAUUGGGGCUUCAUAUCAAUAUGCUAUUUAAGUCAUUUAGCGGACAGAGAAAAUGUAUAAUAUGUUGUGGGAUACAGAGGAAACGGCUUGGCUGAAGAAUUAGCUUUACAACUAAUUCAUUUCUAUUUUAAACCAAGAGAUUUUCUUAAAUUUGUUAAAACAUAAAAUGUUAGUGGUCCUUUGAAUCACUGCACACAACAUGGAAGAGUUAAAUCGCCCACGAAAAAAGAUCUUCAGCAAAAUAAAUCUACGUCAGAACAGACUAUAAAACUCAUCAAAAAAAUAUAUAAUAAAAAGCCGUUUCUGAAAAAGAGAAGAGAAGAACAGCCGGUUGCCUCCGAAAGAGAGAGAGAGAGAGAGAGCGCGAUAAAAUUGAACGCCAUCCAGCUUUUCCGAUAACUCUCACCUAAGGACCCCUAAUCCAAGCGAUGGAAGUGACCCAAAUUAAUGGAUUUCAAUCAAAUUGGCCCUCCAGAAAUUUGAUAUCCCAAAAAAGUCUUGCUUCCAUGCUCUUCUAGAAGUACUCUAACCGUAAUCACUGCCUGCCUAGAGUACUCCCUGAAAAACGAAUGCCUGCUUAGCAUGCAGAAGGCGAGAUACAUGAUGCAAUCCAACGGAUCACGCAACGAAUGACAUUAGUCCAAUCCAUAACACCAUUAACAGUCACUAUGAGGUCGACGGGAAGAAGAGAACAAAACUAGUAGGCACUUAUCUAAUACAAUCCUUAAUUAAACGCUUUUACCAUAAAGUAACUAGGACGAAACUAAUGCGACUCGUAUCAGUAAAACAAAAAAAAAUGAAAACGAAUAUAGCAUCCAAUCAUAAAAUUAUAUAACAUAACCACGCUGGCUUCCUCGCUAAGAGCUAAUCAAAGGGUAAAAGGGGCGGAUGCAGAGAAAUCCUAAUGAUAGUCUCCUGAUGAUUCGUUCACCACGCACAGCCUCUCACAACCCGGACGCUUCAUGUCCUAGACCUUCUGACAGGAGAGCGGCUGUAAACAAAAACACCAGGAUAAGUAUAAUCAAAAACGAAUUCUAAAACCUACCCAGAGCCAUAAAAAAAAAGUUCACUGAAACACGCUUGAUAAAAUAAUAUAAAAAUACGUCUCAAAUUGUGCCACCGUUUAUAAAUUUGAACUAUUCAACAUACUAGCCUGCAUUCGCCAUUUCUGAAUCUGAACUAUUCAACAUAUUCACCUAAGUUCAAAUACAAAGAGAAUACAUAAAAUUCCCAGGUUUUUUAAGGUAACAUAAAAUUCGAAGGGUAAAUUGAAUGGACUGCUGCACUGCAUCUGUUGUUGAACAUCCAAAAGCCUAGAAGCACCCAUAUAUAAUCACCAUUCAAGCAGGCGCAAACAUAAACAUGCACGGGUACAAAUUAACACCAACGGUAUGUAACAUACCAAAGUUUUGCAAUCCUCACCUUCGAUAAUGACCACAAUCAGGACUUCUGCUCCUAUCAUAUGCUCUGUCAUAUCGAUCAUAGACAGGACUAUGGGCACGACCAUAGUCAGGACUUGGGCGAGCCCUGUUGUACACUGGACUAACAGAGCGACCAUAUGGGCUAACAUUACGCCUUCCAUAACCACCCCUCGGAGGGCUGUCCCUCCUGUCACCAUGCUCACCAUCAUCCCUAAAGGCAUACUCAACCGAUACAACACGAUCCAAUAUCUUGCUGCAGUGUACAGGAGAAAAAGAUGAUGAUCAGCAUACCUUCCAAGCAUCAUGGACCAAGCUUUCUAGCAAUAUGUUUAAAGCUCAGUAAUAUAAUACAGACAGAAAGGUAAUGGGCAGCAAAAGUGAAAUUAAGUACUUUAAAAAAUUGAAAUUGUUAAUGUUACAAACAAGAAACCAGAUAGGCAUAUGCAAUAACUUGACUUUCAAUGGCAUAGAACUUGCAAACCCAGCUUCUCAAUCAUGAUUCAUACAAGUAAAUUAUACGGCAAAUGAUACACUAGAGCAUUAAACUAGACAAUCUAAAUCUGACAGCCAUAUCAAAGCAUUUGAUCUAGUUAUUGGCAAGCACAAGAUGAGCUCACCCUAGAACCAAAUAUUCCUAAUGAGUGAAAGAGGGAAGAAAAGAGAGGCUUCAGGUUUCAUGACUCUGUAACAUAUAACCCAAUUACAGAAAAGAACUCUACGCAUCAAUGAAGAAUGCAACUAGGCACCAAGGAACAGAAAGCAAAUCAUCAGUAGACACAAUUUGGUUUAUGAUUCUUGCUAGCCACCAGCAUGUCAAUGUUUAUGUCCAAGCUUCAAAAGGAGAUCAAUCUAUAAUUUUUUCCCAGAUAUUUCUCAUAACUAAACAUGUCAGUUUGGAAUCAAGGAUACCUGCACCACCAACAUGGAUUGUGCAUGUGCAUCCAUGUCGUGCGUGCGUGCGUGUAAGUUACAGAGAGAGAGAGGGGGGAGGGAGGUUUUAGGCUCCUGAAAGCAAAAACCUCUAUCAGUAGCGGGACCCAUUCUCCAACAAGUAACUAUAUCAAUGGGUAAGAAGUAGGACUAACAAACAUUCCACAGAUAACACCAAAAAAAUCCAACAAAAUAUGCUACUACUCAAGUGAUAUACCAUAAGCAACAUGAUCAAGCCAUUGUGGUAACAAAAACAUGCAAGUCAAAAUAAAUGUUAAGACAAAUAGACAUGUGCACAACAGAAGCAUGCUUACUUUACUGUUAAACAAGAAGACACAGCAAUAACAAGAAACAAAAAGAAUAAUCCAAUCCGUUGAGUAAAAAUUUUCAGCAUAAAAAAUGUUAAUGAAGGAAAAGAACAAGAAUGCUAACCUCAAAUUUGUACGUCCAAGGGCUUUUGUGGCUUCCUCCUGGGUUUCAAACUGCACAAAUGCAAAGUUCCUCCUGAUCCGAAUAUUUAAAAUCUUCCCAUAAGGUUCAAAAUGCCUUUCGACGUCCCUGACUCUAGUACGGAUUGGAUCAAAAUUGAUAACAAAAAGUGUUUUAGUGGGCCUAAUGUUUGCCAUUGACCUAGAGCCAUGUCGUGGACCACGUUCCCCUUGC
rnacentral:lncRNA from 1 species